rnacentral:lncRNA from 1 species
GUUACGCUUUCUUCUCUUCUCAAUGGAUACUGUCACGGUAAGAGGAUUUCCGAGGCUGUAGCUUUGGUUGAUCAAAUGGUCGAAAUGGGAUAUCAACCUAAUACUGUUACAUUUACAACUUUGAUUCAUGGGCUUUUUCUUCACAACAAAGCUUUAGAAGCAGUGGCGCUAGUUGAUCAGAUGGCUGUGAAAGGCUGUCAACCAAAUCUGGUUACAUAUGGUGCUGUAGUAAAUGGAUUAUGUAAGAGAGGUGAUAUUGAUUUGGCUUUGAGUUUGUUGAAGAAGAUGGAGAAAGGGAAAAUAGAGCCAAAUGUUGUAAUCUACAACACAAUCAUCGAUAGUCUCUGCAAAUAUAGACAUGUGGAUGAUGCACUUAACCUGCUCAACGAAAUGGUGAUCAAAGGAAUUAGUCCAAAUGUUGUUACCUACAACUCCCUCAUAAGUUGCCUUUGUAAUUACGGGCGAUGGAGUGAUGCCUCUCGACUGCUGAGCGAUAUGAUCGAGAGGAGAAUCAACCCUAAUUCAAUCACUUUCAACACAUUGAUUGAUGCGUUUGUGAAGGUGGGGAAGCUUUUAGAGGCUGAGAAAUUGUACGAGGAGAUGAUCAAAAGGUCUAUAGAUCCUAAUGUCAUCACUUACAGUUCAAUGAUCAACGGGUUUUGUAUGCACGAUCGUCUAGACGAGGCCAAACAGAUGUUUGAGUUCAUGGUUAGCAAGGAUUGUUACCCAAAUGUAGUGACAUAUAAUACUCUCAUAAAGGGUUUUUGUAAGGCUAAGAAAGUGGUGGAUGGUAUGGAACUCUUUCGGAACAUGUCUCAAAGAGGAUUGGUUGGAAACACAGUCACUUACAACACUCUUAUCCAGGGGUUAUUUCAAGAUGGAGAUUGUGAUAUGGCUCAAGAACUAUUCAAAGUGAUGGUUUCUGAUGGUUUGCCUCCAGAUAUUAUCACAUACAACUUUCUGUUAGAUGGACUCUGUAAAAAUGGGAAGCUAGAGAAAGCAUUGGUGGUAUUCGAGUAUCUGCAAAAGAGUAAAUUGGAACCUGAUAUUUGCACAUAUAAUAUUAUGAUUGAAGGGAUGUGCAAGGCAAGGAAGGUGGAAGAUGGGUGGAAUUUAUUUUGUAGCCUCAGCCUUAAAGGAGUGAAGCCUGAUGUUAUAACCUACAAUACAAUGAUCUCAGGAUUCUGUUGGAAAGGUUUAAAGGAGGAAGCAGAUACCUUGUUCAAAAAAAUGAAAGAAGAUGGGCCUCUUCCAGAUAGUGGUACUUAUAAUACGCUUAUUAGGGCGCAUCUUAGAGAUGGCGACAAAGCAGCAUCAGCUGAACUCAUCAAAGAGAUGAGGAGUUGCGGGUUUGCUGGAGAUGCUUCAACCAUUGGCUUGGUGACUAAUAUGCUGCAUGAUGGGAGAUUGGACAAAAGCUUUCUGGACAUGCUUUCUUAAAAUAUCCUUGAAGUGAAUAAGCCUUUUUCUUACUACUUAUUACUUCUCAAUGCAGUCCUUAUGUUCAUGAAUAUGUUUGAUUAGCUUUCUGUUAUCCAGCAUUAUAGUUUUGGUGAACGUUUUAGGUUGUGAGUUUUUUUUUUUUCAUCCAAUAUUGUUUAUAUGUUUAUAUUAUAUGUUUCAUUUCAGAAGAUUACAUUUGUGUUUCUUUAGCUAACAAAUACAACAUUUUAGAUAUUUGGUGACAUUCGGAAGAAAAGAUGACAAAGCAGAGAAAUCAAUGAUAUUCUUUGAAUAGAAGAAUCUAUCAGUUUUCCGAAGAAGAUUUUUUUUUUAGUUUUCGGAGUUAGUCAAUGUUUGCCUCAUUUCUAUGUUGUUCUUUAUCUACACAGAACAAUCAACUUUCAUGGAUACAAAAGAAAAUCUUUCAAAAAUGAUCACGGGAAGUCGAGAAGAAAGAGAUCCAGUAGAGUAACCCAUCCUGGGAAAUUCCGGUCAUUGGAAAAAGUUUGGGAUUGGUACGAUGCCUUCUGAAACUUUCUUCAAAGACUGAAAGUUCCGAGAUUGGGUUGCUAUGUUGGAUCUCUGUCUUCUCAACUUCAUGUGAUCAUUUAUGACUCACAAGCAUUGAGAAAUAUGUGAGAUACUUGAACUAUUUUCUUUGAUUUCAUGAAAGUUAUUGGUUUUUGUGUUGACCAAUAACAUCAUAUAAUUGGGGCAAACAUUGCCUGAUAUUAUAGACGGAUAGAUUCUUUUUUUCUCCUCAUAAUGUCAUUGGUUCUACUUUUUGUCGUCUCUUUGGUAUGUUAUCUAAUAUUCUCAAUGUUGUAGUUGUUAGAUUUUUUUAAUCCCAAGUGGAACUGAGCCCACAAUAUUCCUCGUCUUCUUGAAAAUAGUAAUUAAAUCUUAAAGAUCUUUUGCUUGAUCUUUUUGACUGAACACAACUGCUCGCUUGAGAAGUUUUAGUAGCAGCAACAACAGAGGAUUCUCUUUGAUGUAGCUAUUUGUUUUCUUAGUGAUGGGUUUUUGAUGAUACAGUUUAGUCCUUUUCCUUCCACUAUUGAUUUCAGUAUAUACGGUUGCUGUUGUGUGUAAGCUUCAUGAAGAUGAUUGAUACUAUGCAUUUGUGUAUUUCAUUGUCAGGUUAACUCAAGAUCAGUGGUGAGCAUCAUAAGAAGCUCUUCCCUUCAUGAAGAUCUCAGACUUUUGUUUGGCAUAUGAUUGAUUGUUCUACUGUAGAUUUGGUGUUAACCACACUUGGUUGGGUAUUUCCUUCUCGGUUCUAUUUCCUGUACACAAAAUUUUCUGAAUCUGGUUCUUAUAGAAAUAUAAAUGAAACAUGUAAACCAGCUUGAGUUUGGUAAAUAUUAGGAUAGUGUUUCUUCUGUUUUUUUUGGUGCAAUGUCAAGGAGAUAAUACCGUGAAUGACACUCUUUUGGACACUUUUUAGUUUGGUAACAGUCUAAAAGUUGAGGGGAGGUUCUAAGGUGGUAGCAUUGCGUUGAAUUGACUGAGCAAGUUGGUAUUGAUGUCUUCAAUCAUGACGCUGUGCCAGGUUACUUUUGGAAGAUAGAUUGGUUGGAGAAGAAGGAGAAAGAGCUGUCUGAUUUGGCCAGUCUCCUAUGAGUUUACAUUCUAUUCUUCUCAGAACAAGACCUGAACGUUUCAGACAAUUAGCUUCUACUUGUUUUUCAACUUUUAGGUUAAUCUCUUCUUACUCUAUAUAAAAAUAUCUAACCAAUUCCUUUAUUAAUCAUGAACUCUCAUCAUUCACCAUCACAGGGAACCAAGGUUCAUCAUUUUAUAGCCUCUCUUUCUAGAUUUGUUUGACUUCAUGGAAAUUAUAAAGGUUGACUUCAGAAUAAGAUUAGAAUAUGCAGUUUUGUUCUGAGUUCUCCAAAACCAUCUGUUCUUUGUUUUUUUUUUUGGUUAGGCUGGAUUCAAUUAGUGAAGACUCACAUAUAAUUCUGACUGGAUGUUCUAUGGUUUUAGCUAUAGUUUUACAUUCAUGUUUUUAAAUCUGAGUGUGUUAGAGAAAUAGUCACUUUGUACAUUGGAUGAAGUUUGUAACGGAUACAAAUCCUUGAAUGACAAAAUCCUUUUUGUGUGCAGAUUUUGGCGGAGAUUCAUUGGAAGCUGUUUCUGAGGUAAAAUUGAGAAGAUGAUAAAUAGUAUCUUGUCAAAGCAAUGAAUAGUACAUUGUACAAGAUGCAUUCGAGCAAUAAAUGAGUUUGCAUGCCCUCGUGGCUUUGUUCUUCCAACCAUUUUUGUUUGUCAUCAUCUGAUACCCUCACCCAAACUCAUUUAUUGCUCGCAUUCGUUUGUACAAUGUACAAACUCAAUUGAGAACGGUAAAUCCUCGUACUGCCCCCUCCAUUGUUUAGUCUUUGCAGUUUCCGAUAUUGGAUGGAGAAGAAGGAUAAAGAGCUGUGUCUCUGGUUUGGCCAGGCGCCUAUAUAUUGGUUUUCGUCUUUCAGAUUCUUUGUACUAUUCACAAUGGAGACAAGAGUAUAUAUGCUUUAGAAUUAGGCCUUUUUCUUGUGUCACAAAUUUGAGUUGUAUGCGUAAAGACACAUCUACUAAUGAAAGUUCAUUGUCCGGUUUAUCUAGACCGGAGUGAUUCAAUUGAAAUCUUGAGAAGGUAAUCCUGGAACUGUUCCUGCUCUUUGCUGUUUCCGUUGCUAGAGACGGUCAUAUGAUUAUUUAGUAGAAACGUGUAACUAACUGGAUUUGAAGUUAGAGCUUUUGCUGCUUUUAAAUUAUAAAAGAACGCAGAGUGAACCGGUCGGUUAGUAAAACUGGAAAUGAUAUGAUAUAAUCCUGACCGUCAAAUCCCAAAAAUGAUCCAACGGCCAUAAAACUGAAAUCAGUCACUCACUCCUCGUGACUGUCUUUUUUGGUAGACCGAAGUUAAAAACUUGAGAUUUGCUCAUCGGAGCAAUUAGAUUUGGAGUCUGAAACCUCAAUCAGCUGAAGAUGAGGAGAUUGUUUGCGAUUGCGUCGAUGGGAAAGAGAUUUGCUCAUCGGAGUCUUCUUCUUAAAGGUAAACUUGGAACUGCUCCUUCUUCGUUUAGCCAUUGCAGUUUCUGGGUACGAGCUUUUUCUGGUGGCGGUGAUGAUUACAGAGAGAUAUUGAGUAGAAAUAGGAUAUUACAGGAUCUGAAGUUAGAUCAUGCGAUUGGUUUGUUCGUUGAGAUGGUAAAGUCUCGUCCUUUACCAUCCAUUGUUGAGUUCAAUAAAUUGUUGAGUGCUAUUGCUAAGCUGAAGAAGUUCGAUGUUGUCAUCUCUCUGGGCGAGCAGAUGCAAAACUUGGGAAUCUCACAUAGUCUCUAUACUUACAAUAUUCUCAUAAACUGUUUUUGCCGACGGUCUCAGCUCUCUCUUGCUUUAGCUGUUCUUGGAAAGAUGAUGAAACUCGGCUAUGAGCCAAGUAUUGUCACGCUUUCUUCUCUUCUCAAUGGGUACUGUCAUGGUAAGAGGAUAUCCGAGGCUGUAGCUUUGGUUGAUCAAAUGGUCGAAAUGGGAUAUCAACCUAAUACCGUCACAUUUACAACUUUGAUUCAUGGGCUUUUUCUCCACAACAAAGCUUCCGAAGCUGUGGCGCUAGUUGAUCGGAUGGCUGUGAAAGGCUGUCAACCAAAUCUGGUUACAUAUGGUGCUGUAGUAAAUGGAUUAUGUAAGAGAGGUGAUAUUGAUUUGGCUUUGAGUUUGUUGAAAAAGAUGGAGAAAGGAAAAAUAGAGCCAAAUGUUGUAAUCUACAACACAGUUAUCGAUGGUCUCUGCAAAUACAAACAUGUGAAUGAUGCACGCAACCUAUUCAAUGAAAUGGAGAACAAAGGAAUUAGACCAGAUGUUUUUACCUAUAACUCCCUCAUAAGCUGCCUUUGUAAUUACGGAAGAUGGAGUGAUGCCUCUCGACUGCUGACCGAUAUGAUCGAGAGGAGAAUCAACCCCGAUGUAGUUACUUUUAAUGCACUGAUCGAUGCGUUUGUGAAAGAAGGGAAGUUUAUAGAGGCGGACAAAUUAUAUGAGGAGAUGAUCCGAAGGUCAUUAGAUCCUGAUAUUUUCACCUACAAUUCUUUGAUCAAUGGGUUUUGUAUGCGUCAUCGCCUAGACGAGGCCAAGCAGAUGUUUGAGUUCAUGGUUAGCAAGGACUGUUUCCCAAAUGUAGUGACUUAUACUACUCUUAUAAAUGGAUUUUGCAAGUCUAAGAAGGUAGAAGAUGGUAUGGAACUCUUCUGGGAGAUGUCUCAAAGAGGAUUGGUUCGAGACACAAUCGUUUACACUACUCUCAUCCAAGGGUUUUUUCAAGCUGGAGAUUGUGAUAAUGCCCAGAAAAUAUUCAAACAGAUGGUUUCUGAUGGUGUGCAUCCCAAUAUCAUGACAUACACCAUUUUGUUAGAUGGACUUUGUAGUAACGGGAAGCUAGAAAAAGCUUUGUUCAUAUUCAAGGAUUUGCAAAAGAGUGAAAUUGAACUUGAUACUUACAUAUAUACUACCAUGAUUGAAGGGAUGUGCAAGGCUGGGAAGGUGGAAGAUGGAUGGGAUCUAUUUUGCAGCCUCGACCUUAGAGGAGUGAAGCCUAGUGUUGUAACCUACACUUCAAUGAUCUCAGGAUUUUGUAGGAAAGAUUUAAAGGAGGAAGCAAAUGCCUUGUUCAAUAAAAUGAAAGAAAACGGGCCUUGUUCCAAUAGUGGUACGUAUAAUACGCUGAUUAGGGCACGCCUUAGAGAUGGUGACAAAGCGGCAUCGGCUGAACUCAUCAACGAAAUGAGGAGUUGCGGGUUUGCUGGAGAUGCUUCAACGAUAAGUAUGGUGAUUAAUAUGUUGCAUGAUGGGAGAUUGGACAAAAGCUAUCUGGACAUGCUUUCUUGAAACAGUCAAUCCUCGAGAAACGAAUUGCAGAGCGACCAUCUUCCCUUGUGAAUGCAUGCUUCUGUGAGGUUUAUCGACCUUUUCUAUACUGCUGUUCUUGUGUUUACUUCUCGACCCAGUUUCAUGUUAAAUCUGUUGUGGUUGUUGAGUGAGUUUUAUGGACUCGACUGGUACUGCUCUUUCUUAUGCUCCUAUUAGGUUGACACAAGAAUAUUUUCAUAGUUUAGAAGUUGUCUACAUACUUGUACGAGAGACCCUUUUGGUUUGGUUUGAAUUGAGGUAUAUGCAUGGCUUGUCUGAUACAUUUAGCCUAAGUUUGUUUUUCUUGUGUUUACUUCUCGACCGAGUUUCAUGUUAAAUUCGUUGGUAAUUUUGUGACAAAAAUACCCUUCUCAACGGGAUUGUGACAAAAAUUCGUUGGUAAUGUUAUGAACUCUUCUCGACGAAACAAUGGCUGGAAAGCCACUUUCAGGAAAAAAAUUGCUGGAAUGCCACCCUUCAAUUUUCGUUUUAUUUUUGAUUUUUUUUUAAAAUCAAAAUAUAUGGUAAAAGUCCAAAAACUCUUGACCUAAACCAUAAAUUACGUUCUCUUGCCAUUUCUUUUGCUAACCCAUAUAUUCUCCACAUAAUUGUCACGCUUCUUCUUCCUCUGGAUUUUUUCUUCUCCUCUUCUUCUCCACCAUCAUCAUCAACGCCAUAGACCUCUUCUUCUGGAUUUUUUGAAUCUUUGAUCUCAGAUCUCUUCUUCUCCAUCAUCAUAAACCAGAUCCCAGAUCCCAGAUCCCAGAUCUCUUCUUUUUCUCAUGGAUCUCUCUUCUCUCUCUUCGCUCUUUUGAUCGAUCUUUGUCCUUGUCUUCGUUUCCAUCACCAUAGUUUAUGCUCAGAUUUGCAAAUCAGAUAUCCAACAACAAUCUUGAUCUAGAUCUCUCCAAAUUGGCUUUGUAAUGCACGGGUAAGAAAAAUCGGUUCACAAACUUCGACGAGGAAGGUUGACGGCGGAUCAUCGGCGACGACGACGGUGAAUAAAACAAGAGGAGACGAAUUAGUGAGUGUGACGGCGCUAGGGUUUAGAAUUACAAUUUUUCGCUUUAGUUGUACCAAGGUGUACCUAUUUAUAUGUCAGUUAUACCAAUUGUAUCAAUUGUACUAUUAUUUUAACUAAUACCAUUUGUACUAGUUGUUCAAUUAUCUCUCAGUUAUACUAGUUGUAUCACUUGUCAUAUUAUCCCUUAUCUGUACCAGUUGUACUAUUAUCUCUUAGUUGUACCAAUCGUCUGUUAUUUCAUUAAGGGUAAUUUGAGAAUAUCACAUUUACAGUGGCACUCAGAUUACAAAAUAGCAUGCCUGAUUCGUUUUUUCCAUUUAGUGGCAAACUAGCAUCGGACUCCUUCUCGACCGAGUUUCAUGUUAAAAGUGACAAAAAUACCCUCAAGAAAAAAAGGCUGAACUUACAGCUGCUGUUCAAAUGACGCCACCACCUCCUGAAUUUGAAGAUUAUGAUGAUGGGGAAGAAGAGAAGGAUUAUGAGCCAAAAAACAAAGGCGGUCUUUCUCAGCGCAAAAAGGCACGACACAAAGGUCCACUUGACAGGUUCAUAACUUCUCCACCUCCAAAUUUAUUGAAUGCUAGAAAAGAAAGGAAAGGAAUUUUUGGAGCUUGUGAUAAGGAGCUAAGGGAGAAGACUUGUAGAGGUAUUGCGAGGUUUUUCUAUGAUUUUGGUCUUGCAUUCAACGCUGCCACUUUAGACAGUUUUAAAGAGAUGCUUGAAUUGGUUGGACAGUAUGGUCCAGGAUUAAAGCCACCAACCAUGCAUGAGCUUAGAGUUCUUUUACUUAAGAAAGAAGUAGACGGUACUAAAAGCCAAAUAGUGGAGUACAAGAAAGAGUGGGCUUCUAAAGGGUGUUCACUCAUGUCGGAUGGAUGGCGCGAUUCAGUUGUUCAAAAAGAUUUAGUUAACUUUCUUGUCAACUCUCCAAAGGGAUCUGUUUUCGUGAGAUCUCUAGAUGUAUCAGAAGUCGUCAAAGAUGCCAACUUGUUCUUUGAUUUGCUUGAUAAGAUGGUUGAUGAGGUUGGGGAGGAAAACGUCGUCCAAGUAGUCACGGACAAUGCAUCAAACUACGUGAAAGCCGGUAAAAUAUAUAUUUGAUCUCUUUAAGUUUUAGUAAGUAUUGAAUUUAUUUUAUAUAUUAACUCUAAUUUCUUUCUUGGUAAAUAUAAAAUUCAGGGGAGUUGCUCGAAGCGAAACGACCACAUCUUUAUUGGACUCCAUGUGCUGCUCACUGUAUCGAUUUAAUGCUAGAAGACAUUGGUAAAAUCUCAUAUGUGAAGAGUGCACUACAGAAGUGCAUAUUCAUAAAUGGCUAUAUUUAUAGUCAUAUUCCUCUACUGAACAUGAUGAGGAAGUUCACAGGUGGAAGGAAUUUGCAUAGGCCGGCGAUCACAAGAUUUGCAACCUCUUUCAUCACGCUUGCACAGUUUCACAGGCUGAAGGACAACUUGAGAAAGAUGGUUCAUUAUGAUGAAUGGAAUGCCUCGAAGUGGCCAAAAGAAGCUUGAGGGAAGAAAAUAAAAUCAUUUUUUUUGCAAGAAAGCUUCUGGAAGAAUGUUUUACAUGCUCUGAAGUUGGGAGGUCCUCUUAUACAAGUUCUUCGAAUGGUUGAUGGAGAGAAAAAACCUCCUAUGGGAUACAUAUAUGCAGCCAUGGAUCGAGCUAAGGAGAAAAUUAUGCAGAGUUUCACUAUGAGAGACGAAAACUACAAAACGGCGUUUCAGAUCAUUGAUAGAAGAUGGGAAUGUCAACUUCAUAGGCCUUUGCAUGCAGCUGGCUACUAUCUAAACCUGAAUUUCAUUAUUCAAAUGAAGACAUAGGUUGUGAGGAAGUCUUGAAAGGUUUUUAUGCUUGCAUUGAAAGGUUGACUCCGACAAUUGAGAUUCAAGAUAAGAUAAUAGCCGAGUUGGAUGCAUUUAAAAAUGCUACGGGUCUCUUUGGUAUUCCAAUGGCAAUAAGGCUGAGAAAAUCACAAUCACCAUGUAUAACUCUCAAGUCUGACAUCUUCGUUUUCAUAAUUUAAUCUUGGAUAAAAACUUACGAUAAUUUCACUUUAAUAGCUGAAUGGUGGUCUUCUUAUGGAUCUUCAACUCCAAACCUCCAGAAGUUUGCCAUAAAAGUUCUUAGCCUCACUUGUAGUGCUACCGGUUGUGAGAGGAAUUGGAUUGUUUUCAACUAGUAAGUAACCUUAAUUCGAUUAUUUACUUUAAUUAAAUUAUGCAUAAAACACAGCUUCUAAUCUUCUCUUCUAACAGCUUCAUACCAAAAGAAGGAACAUAUUGAAUCAAUCUCAGUUGAACGACAUGGUAUUUGUGAAAUACAAUCGCGCUCUACAACGUCGAUACAAGAGAAAAGACACCGUCGAUCCUAUUGUGUUGGAUGAAAUUGAUGAAUGCAAUGAGUGGCUGACUGGGACAAUGGAAUCUGAUAAUGAAGAUGAUCUUGUGUUUGAAGAUGAUAACUUGACAUGGAAUGUAGUUGGCGAGGCCGUAGGUGCUAAUGAUCCUUAUUAUGCAACUAGAUCGGCUGCUGCUUCAAGUAGAUUUGAAAAAGGAAAAGGCGUUGCUACUGAUUCUGGUGGACAUGGACGUUCCAAAGCAUCUCGCAGGCCACCAUCUACUUCUAGUCCUAUGACUUUGGUUGAUGAUGAUGACGAGAUGGAAGAGGAUUUCAUUGGACCAGAGUAUGAGGAUACGCUUUUGGACAAUGAUGAUUAUGAGUAUGAUGAUUCUGGUUUUUAGAUUAUUAAUGGUUUAAAAACCAUUGUGUUUGCUACUUUGCUUUUAUAUCUAUGUGUUUGCUACUUUGCUAUUAUUCUACUUGUUGUGGAUUGGAUUAGAUUGUUUUGUAGUAUUUUAUUUGGGAUUUCUAAAGUUUAAGAAGGAAAUAAGUCUGUUACAUUUUUGUUUUCAAAUUGAUGUGCCUCGUGUCUAAGUGGCGCUGCGCCUUAUGCGCCAUGGCCCAUGGCUCCAUAAGAGGACAUUAGUGCCACGGUGCGCUUUGCGCCAUUUAAAACUCAGGUAGUGACAUAUAGCACUCUCAUAAAAGGAUUUUGCAAGCCUAAGAGAGUAGAGGAUGCUCUUGAACUCUUUCGGAACAUGUCUCAAAGAGGAUUGGUUGGAAACACAGUCACUUACAACACUCUUAUCCAGGGGUUAUUUCAAGAUGGGGAUUGUGAUAUGGCUCAAGAACUAUUCAAAGUGAUGGUUUCUGAUGGGGAUGGUGUGCCUCCCAAUAUCAUGACAUACAACAUUCUGUUAAAUGGACUUUGUAAAAAUGGGAAGCUAGAAAAAGCAUUGGUGGUAUUCGAGUAUCUGCAAAAGAGUAAAUUGGAACAUGAUAUUUGCACAUAUAAUAUUAUGAUUGAAGGGAUGUGCAAGGCAAGGAAGGUGGAAGAUGGGUGGAAUUUAUUUUGUAGCCUCAGCCUUAAAGGAGUGAAGCCUGAUGUUAUAACCUACAAUACAAUGAUCUCAGGAUUCUGUUGGGAAGGUUUAAAGGAGGAAGCAGAUACCUUGUUCAAAAAAAUGAAAGAAGAUGGGCCUCUUCCAGAUAGUGGUACUUACAAUACGCUUAUUAGGACGCAUCUUAGAGAUGGUGACAAAGCAGCAUCAGCUGAAAUCAUCAAAGAGAUGAGGAGUUGCGAGUUUGCUGGAGAUGCUUCAACCAUUGGCUUGGUGACUAAUAUGCUGGAUGAUGGGAGAUUGGACAAAAGCUUUCUGGACAUGCUUUCUUAAAACAGUUUAUCCUCGAGAGAAGAGGAGCGGUAGUGCAACAGUCUUCCCUUCAAAGCACAGGUGAGGUGAAUCAAGUAUUUAUGUUGCUUUCUAGUGAUUACUUCUCUGUCUUCGUGUUACCUGUGUAUAUUUGGUUGCUGGUGUGACGUGUGUGUAAGCUUCAUGUAGGUGACUGAAACUGUGCUUGUGAUGAUUUUAGUGUUAGGUAAAACAAGAUCAUCAGAAGAAGCUAUUCUCUUCAAGAAGAUCUCAGACUUGGUUUGGUGUAUUUAUUGUUUUGGUUUAGAUUUUGAUUUUAGCUAAAUGUAGGUGACAAAUUCUUAGUUUGAACUCUGAAAGAUUGUUUAGACAAAUGUUUAGUUUCGUUGGGUUCAAAUAAAGAACUUGGUUUGGUUUCUCAUUCUCGGUUCUGUUUUUUUUGUACACAAAGAUUCUGAAUUUGUUUCUUCAUUACAUGAAAAAUGAGUUACCUCCAACGCCAGCUAAAGGUAAACUAUUGCUAAAACCAAAUCUGAACGUCUCUGAUCUUAUAAUUUCAGGAACUUGGCCAUUAGGACCAAAUAAAAAUUCAUCAGGAGGACACAUAUUUGAAGGGGAACAUACAAAGUGAGAUCAGGCUACCAUUUGCAACGUGAGAGCUCUCUCAAGCUAACCUGCCAAUACAACAAUAAUCUUCAGAUAGAAAGUAGCACAAGCAUGAAGAAUCUGUUUCAUCUUGUUUUGCUAGUGCAGUUUUCUGCAUAAGGGUCAUUCAGUUGGCGGUAUCUUCACUUGUAGCUUGCUUCAAAAUAUUUAAUCUCUUAACAUAAUGUAACAUUGGCUGGAGAAUAUGGAAAAUGCGCAAUGAUCUUUUGUUCCAAGAUUCAAGAUAGUCUAUCCUAGAAUCAAAACUUUCACAGAAAAGCUUCUUGGGCUUGUCUGAAUCAAAAUGCAUAGGCAUAGGCUGAUCAAAACAAGGAAAAGUAUACUAAAACAACUUCAUCUAUAUUUCCAACCUCUUGCUCUCUUGAAGCUGAAGCUAUUGCAACUCAGUCCUCAUGUUACUUGUGUGUAUGUUUAAUUGCUGUUGUGUGUAAGUUUCAUGAAGGUGACUGAUAUUUUAUUGUUAUGUUAGUACAAGAUCAAUAUAAUGAGUAUCAGAAGAAGCUAUUCCCUACAAGAAGAUCUCAGACAUGGUUUGCUGUGAUUAUUGUUUUGGUAUAGGUUUAGUGUUUUAGUCAAAUUCUUAAUUAAUUUAGGGAAUGAAACUCUUUUGGACACUUUUGUUGAGUUUAGAGGAAUAAAACUCAAAUGACUUCUAAAUUUCCAGUUAAGAUUGGUAAAACCGAAUUAGAGGAUGUGUGAAAUGUUCCUUAGCUUAUAACCUGCAACAACUUUUUGCAUUCUCUGAUCUUCGAACAUAUAUAUAUGUAAUUCAGUUAACAGGAAUCACUAAGAUUGGUGGUUAAGGAAAAUAUUUGGAGAAUGUUGCAGAAUCCAAUAUCUCUUCUUACCAUAGAAUAAAAAACACAUAUGCACAGUUUAAAUCAUUUUGAACUACCGUGUCCUGUGAAUUGAACCUCAGCUAAACCAUAAUGAGUACUUAAUUUGUUGUCCAUUAACUAACGGAGAGCAAUAUAAAAUGCUACAAAAACACAGCUGGUUUGAUCAUAAUGUUCUCGGAUACUGUUUUUCUGAGAUGCUUCCCCUUACCGAACUAAACUUCAUGCCAAAGAUGGUUGAUUCUGGUAAUGCAGAAGUUUAGCUGCUCCUGUUGUUCACCAUGAUGAAGAAGAUGAGCUUGUGGUGCCUGUGUGGGAUGAACGUUCUGGCUCCAACACUCCUCCUCAUCAUGUUUCUAACAGUAGCUCUGACAGUUCAGCAAUCUCUUCCUCCUCCCUAAUAUCUCCACCUCCUCAACCUGUUUCCCCACAUUUCCGAGGUGAUGAGUUUGGUGCGGGUCGUCAGCCUUCCAGGUUUGAAGAUUCAUGUCAAAUAUUAUAGAAUCUAUAAAAUACUUUAUUGAGUUGUCUCUCAUAUGAAAAUAUAAGAUACAUAUAUAUAGUGUUAACAUUAACAUAAUGUUAACACCCACAUAAUGUAAACUUUCCUAAACAUAUAAGUAAAUAACUUGUACAAGAAGUAAUAUAGAGAUCUAGAAUAUUCUUCGGUUUAGGCUUCACGGGCUUCACUUCAUAAUGGACUUUAACGGUCCAUAUUACUUGGUCCGCAAGAUACACAUCUUGCUUAUCUCCAAUACUCCCCCGCACGACAAAGGUGGGAUGCGAAACGCAAAAUAUGCAACCACAAAGCGGAACACCUAUGUCGUGGACAUCAUGUCGAGGACGGACAAAUCAUGUCAACUGUCUCCUCAGGUAUAAACUUCAAUUUUCAAAAGAGGAUGGAACUUCAGCUCGUCUUUGGUCUUAGUAAAAGGGAAUAACAAUAUUCCGUGGGCGCAAAUCCUGCAACUCCACAAAUAAUCGUCCUAUCUCGGACAGUCCACAAACCGGACUAAAAAAUAGCCUAAAACAUGAGUGUUCCAAUAAACUCCCCCGUAAUAUGAGAAAUCAAAACUCACAUUAAAAAAAUGAGAUAUUCUAAACUCAAGAAUAAAUCUCAUAAAUAAACAACUACUUGUGAAAUCCCAAACCCUUAAAACAUAAUAAUUCCUCAAAGAUCUCUAAUUCUUGUGCUAAACCAAAUCAUAAACUCAAAAUAAACCUAAAACACUAACUUAGAAUAAAAGAAAUAUAAAACUCUCAUGUGGACGUCAAAGCAAACUUUGCUUCACGUCAUCAUCCGGAUCGUCUUCGUCACCACCGUCUUCGAUGGCUUCACAUCCCAUGGUUAUUGUGACCACAAGAUUUUUAAUGCGGAAGCGUUUAAUUCAGAUCCACAAGGAUCGACUGCUCUGAUACCAUGUCAAAUAUUAUAGAAUCUAUAAAAUACUUUAUUGAGUUCUCUCUCAUAUGAAAAUAUAAGAUACAUAUAUAUAGUGUUAACAUUAACAUAAUGUUAACACCCACAUAAUGUAAACUUUCCUAAACAUAUAAGUAAAUAACUUGUACAAGAAGUAAUAUAGAGAUCUAGAAUAUUCUUCGGUUUAGGCUUCACGGGCUUCACUUCAUAAUGGACUUUAACGGUCCAUAUUACUUGGUCCGCAAGAUACACAUCUUGCUUAUCUCCAAUAAUUCAAGUUCCUCUUCUAUGCAUCAUUCUCCAGGUUCCUCCUCUGUUCAUCGAGCUAAAGGGAAAGCAAGGUAUGAGAUAUGUGAAUGUUCUACUCGUAAGAAAGGAAAAAGGAUUGAUCUUAACUCUGAGAGAAACAUUAGACAGUGUUGUAAAGACAAGGGGGUUCCGUUUUACCCAGUGGAUGGUCAACUUCCCUAGUUUGUUUUCAGACACUUAACACAAUCAGAGCAUAAUUUACCCUUAUUGAUGAGGACAUCAUGUCAUCAUCACUUAUGCUCUGGUUUCUGCUGCUUUUUGGGGUAAGUCUUACCUUAGUUUUUAGGAAAUAAAGGACCUACUUCAGGUCAAACAAGUGGAUGAUGAAGGAGAACUUUUUGGACAUCAUUCUGGUUUAAACUGAUGUUAAUUGCGCAAAGAGAAGGUUCAGUUUCACAGGUUGGAAGGCUUUCAAUGACUUUUUGGAAACUUUCUACUGCUAAUCAUGGCUGGUAUGAAGAUGGUGAACAAGCAGCAAGCAUAAUGCAAGCUUAUGUUGGAUGCGAUAAGAUCAACUUCAAGCUACAACGCUUCAAUAUUUGGUCUUAUUGAGAAUUGUUAUGAGCUUGCUAAUACCAAGUUACCAUUUUGUUGCUACUCUUUAGUUUUAGAAUGUGUUGUAUGUUACUUAUGUUUUGUAGUUUGUAUAUGUUUGUUAUACCCUGUAUUUGGCUUUCCUCCUUGGUUUCUCCAAUGAUAAGUGAUGGUGAUGCAGUUUCAAUGUAGUAUAUACUUAAAGGAAAAAAAAAAAAAAAAAAGACGACUAAAAAUAAAAGGAGCAAUGACCGGUUUAAGAAAACCAGCUGUAACCGAAUCGACAUUGAACCGACCGACUGCUAUCGAUUAUAGGGCUUAUUGGAUUCUGCGAUCUCUUUUGCUGUCUGAUCUCUCUUCACUCACUCUCUAGUUUAGUAGUCUCCUCAAUUCAUUUCAAGGGGAAGCCAUUUUCGAAGCAAUCAAGAAGAUGAUGAAAUCUGUUGCGAUUACGGGCAUGAGAUUUCUUCAUCGGCACACUCUGGUGAGAGGUAAUUCUGGAACCGCUCCUGCUCUUUGCGGUUUUCGUUACUCAGGACGAGGUUUUGCUGCUGCUAGUUAUGAUUACAGAGAGAAAUUGAGUAGACGAAAUGAUUUAAAGUUAGAUGAUGCGAUUCGUUUGUUCGGUGACAUGGUCAAUUCUCGUCCUUUACCUUCCAUUGUUGAGUUCAAUCAAUUGUUGAGUGCCAUUGCUAAGCUGAAGAAGUUCGAUGUUGUCAUCUCUCUCGGCGAGCAGAUGCAAAAUUUGGUAAUUGCUCAUGAUCUCUUUACUUACAGUAUUUUCAUUAACUGUUUCUGCCGACGGUCUCAGCUCUCUCUUGCUUUAGCUACUCUUGGCAAGAUGAUGAAACUCGGCUAUGAGCCCGAUAUUGUCACACUUUCUUCUCUUCUCAAUGGGUACUGUCACGGUAAGAGGAUCUCCGAGGCUGUAGCUUUGGUUGAUCAAAUGGUAGAAAUGGGAUAUCAACCUAAUACCGUCACAUUUACAACUUUGAUUCAUGGUCUUUUUCUCCACAACAAAGCUUCAGAAGCAGUGGCGCUAGUUGAUCGGAUGGCUGUGAAAGGCUGUCAACCAAAUCUGGUUACAUAUGGUGCUGUAGUAAAUGGAUUAUGUAAGAGAGGUGAUAUUGAUUUGGCUUUGAGUUUGUUGAAGAAGAUGGAGAAAGGGAAAAUAGAGCCAAAUGUUGUAAUCUACAACACAGUUAUCGAUGGUCUCUGCAAAUACAAACAUGUGAAUGAUGCACGCAACCUAUUCAAUGAAAUGGAGAACAAAGGAAUUAGACCAGAUGUUUUUACCUAUAACUCCCUCCUAAGCUGCCUUUGUAAUUACGGAAGAUGGAGUGAUGCCUCUCGACUGCUGAGCGAUAUGAUCAAGAGGAGAAUCAACCCCGAUGUAGUUACUUUUAGUGCACUGAUCGAUGCGUUUGUGAAAGAAGGGAAGUUUGUAGAGGCGGACAAAUUAUAUGAGGAGAUGAUCUGGAGGUCAUUAGAUCCUGAUAUUUUCACCUACAAUUCUUUGAUCAAUGGGUUUUGUAUGCGUCAUCGCCUAGACGAGGCCAAGCAGAUGUUUGAGUUCAUGGUUAGCAAGGACUGUUUCCCAAAUGUAGUGACUUAUACUACUCUUAUAAAUGGAUUUUGCAAGUCUAAGAAGGUAGAAGAUGGUAUGGAACUCUUCCGGGAGAUGUGUCAAAGAGGAUUGGUUGGAGACACAAUCGUUUACACUACUCUGAUCCAAGGGUUUUUUCAAGCUGGAGAUUGUGAUAAUGCCCAAAAAAUAUUCAAACAGAUGGUUUCUGAUGGUGUGCCUCCAAAUAUCAUGACAUACAACAUUCUGUUAGAUGGACUUUGUAAAAACGGGAAGCUAGAGAAAGCAUUGGUGGUUUUCGAGUAUAUGCAAAAGAGUAAAAUGGAACUUAAUAUUAGUACAUAUAGUAUCAUCAUUCAUGGGAUGUGUAAGGCUGGGAAGGUGGAAGAAGGGUGGGAUUUAUUUUGUAGCCUCAGCCUUAAAGGAGUGGAGCCCGAUGUUAUAAUUUAAAAUACAAUGAUCUCAGGAUUUUGUAGGAAAGGUUUAAAGGAAGAAGCGGAUGCCUUGUUCAGAAAAAUGAAAGAAGAUGAGCCUCUUCCAGAUAGCGGUAUAUAUAAUAUACUGAUCAGGACGCGCCUUAGAGAUGGUGACAAAACCGCAUCAGCUAAACUCAUCAAAGAAAUGAGGAGUUGCGGGUUUGCUGGAGAAGCUUCAACUGUUGGCUUGGUCAGUGGUCACUAAUAUGUUGCAUGAUGGGAGAUUGGAGAAAAGCUUUCUGGAAAUGCUUUCUUAAAGACAUCUUUGAGGUGAAUCGGAUUUUUAUUUUACUUUUCUAUUGACUAGUUCUUCUCAGUGCUGUCCUUAUGUUCUCAUGUUUACAUUUAGAAAUAGAUAUGUGUAUAUUCGGUUGUUGUUGUGUCUAAGCUUCAUGAAUAUGACUAGGGCUGGGCAUUCGGGUAUGCGGGUCGGGUUCGGGUAAAACCCGAUCGGGUACGGGUCUUUCGGGUAGAGGAGUUUAGGACCCAAUAGGGUAAAUCUAAAAUAUCGGUUCGGUUUCGGUUCGGAUCUAAUCGGGUUCGGGUCGGUUCGGGUUUAGAUUUUUAGAACCGCUAAAUACCCAAAAAAAUCGGGUACCCAUCGGGUUCAGGUAUUUUAUACCCAAAUACCCAAAAUUUUACCAAAUACCCGAAUUUUAUCCGCAAUUUUACUAUAAUAUCCAAGUUUCACCCAAAAAUUUAUCCGAAUAACCGGAAUUUUGUCCAAAUAUUUAAAAAAUUUACAAGCAUCUCGCGUAUAAAUAUAUUUUGUCUUAAAUAUUUAAAUAUAAGUGCAUUUAAUUUUUGGUAAUUAUUCUCGGAUAUUUAGAUAUAAAUGUAUUUAGCUCAAAUAUUACUUUUUAUAUAUGUAUAAGUAUAUGUAAUUUCGGGUAAUCGGGUACCCGUUCGGAUAUCGGGUUCGGAUCGGGUUUUACCGUAUACCCACGGGUACGACAAUACAAGAUCCAAUAGGGUAAAUAGCUAAUACCCGUACCCACCCCGAACCGGUUUUUUCGGGUCGGUUUCGGUUCGGGUACUCGGGUACGGUUUUUUUGCCCAGGCCUAAAUAUGACUGAUACUGUUCUUUGUUAUUUUAGGCGUGAAAUUCUUGUGAAUGCAAAAAGGCUUUUUAACUCAUAUUGAAUCUGCUUAGCAUAUGGUUACAACUGUUUUGGGGAUCUUGUAGGAGAUGAAAAAAAAAGCUCACAAAAUUCAAUUGUGGAUUUCUGUGAAAAGAAGAGCUCAUUAAGAAUGGAGAUUUGCCGCUGCUUCCAGAGACUGGCAUAUCGCCAACUUCGUUAUUUCGAGGUAAUGAAGUCCGUACUGCUAAACUCUUACACUUUAUUCCAUCCUAAAACUUCCCAUUAUAUAGGGUACAUGUCUAACCGGCGAAAAAAUAAAGGUACAUGUCUAACCAAAAUCACAACAUAAAAAAUACAAGGAAGCAACGUUCAAAGCCAAACUCCAGGAUAUCUAUCUAAUCAUAACAAAAUAUUGUAAAAUUUUAUAAUUGUUCUCUAGCUAGCACCGCUUACUAGAAUAUUCGAGAUUUCAUAUCUCAGCUCACUUGAGCACCUGAUCUGAUUUUGAACUCCCCACAGACACGGUUUUCUCCUCGUCCUUGAGCCAAUGUUAUCCUCUUAACAUAAGUAUAACGCACAUUCUUUGCUCAUAUGAUCAUUCAGAUUACUGGAUUAAUGAUUCCUUUGAUUUUAUGUUAAUGGUGUGUGACCUGACCUAUAUAACGUAGUGUUCUGAAUUUGAUCUACGAUCAAUUUUUCAACAAAUGAAGCAAGUAACUGAAGUUUUGAUUUGAUUUCCAAUGUCUGAGUCUCUUUUGAUAACAAACAUUGAUUGCAGUUUUGGUGAUUCAAGGUUUGUUAUGUUCGAGAAUGCAUUUUCGUAUGACGUUUCAUGUUUUUGACCAGGAGAGGUGUUAUAUGUACAUGAAAGGCUCUGUUACAUUCAGAGAAUAGCUAAUGGAGAAUACUUGUCUCGUGUUACUGAAAUAGUAUUAUGCAGGUCAGUUGUCUUUUUUCGUGUCUGAAUCUUUCUUUCUUGUUUUGGUUAAGGGUUGUACAAAGGCAGUGCCUCUAAUAAAACAUUCAGAGAAUUUCUGUUUUUGUCUAAAUCUUUCUUAUUCGCUUUCUCCUUUUCAUUUUCUCUCGAGUCUCUGUGCGUGUGUCAUCUUUAGCUUAAAAAGUGUAUUUGAUUUCUAUCUUUUUGUGACUCAUGGACUUCCGCUGAAUAGCCAACCAUUUCCGAGCUUGAUCGCGCACUUCUCUUGCUUUCCCUCUACAGAAUUGCAGCUUUGGUUUGGUUGUUGACAAAUCUUUGGUUUUUCUUUAUGUGUGUUUUUUUUCUUGCAGUGAUGUGCACAUGAUAUUUGCACAUAUAAUAUUAUGAUUGAAGGGAUGUGCAAGCCAGGGAAGGUGGAAGAUGGGUGGAAUUUAUUUUGUAGCCUCAGCCUUAAAGGAGUGAGGCCUGAUGUUAUAACCUACAAUACAAUGAUCUUAGGAUUUUGUAGGAAAGGUUUAAAGGAGGAGGCAUAUACCUUGUUCAGAAAAAUGAAAGAAGACGGGCCUCUUCCAAAUAGUGGUACUUAUAAUACGCUUAUUAGGGCGCAUCUUAGAGAUGGUGACAAAGCAGCAUCAGCUGAACUCAUUAAAGAGAUGAGGAGUUGUGGGUUUGCUGGAGAUGCUUCAACCAUUGGCUUGGUGACUAAUAUGCUGCAUGAUGGGAGAUUGGACAAAAGCUUUCUGGACAUGCUUUCCUAAAUCAGUUUCAUCAUCCGCUAGAGAAGGUGUAUAAUAGAUCAACCAUCUUUCCUUUAAAGCAUCUAUGAGAUGAAUCGAAUCUUUGUAUUGCUUUUCUUGGGAUUACUUCUCGAUGUAGUUAGGUGUGUUUACGUUUUCAUGUUAAAGUUGUUGUGUGUAACUGCUUCAUGGACAAGACUGGUACUACUCUUUGUCAAUUCCUUAAUAGGUUGCAAACACAAGAUCAGUGAUGAAAGUCUUCAAUAUGCUUAUCUACGUUCGAGAGAUCUUUUUGGUUGGGAAUUUAGAUAAAUGUAUAAAGAGAAACAACUUAGGAAGAAAAUGAAAGCAACUUUAUUUGAAACAAUAUAAAGAGAUCAUUUAUAUACAAGCUCAAAACUCAAAAUUGGAACAUGAGAAAUAGAAAAGAUAAAUGCAUCAGAAAAUAUUAUUCGAUUCAUCAGAAAGUUUUUCAGAUUCCCUUUGGAGCCACACCAACGGAGUUCAAUGUCUCUGCAUUUCGAGGCCUUUGCAAAAACAAAACAAAAAUGAUAGAUUUCAGAUUUCUAUAAAACGAAAUUCUAGUGACUGUUUUUCUUGAAAACUAUAUAAGUGAAGAGAGGUCACUGAACUUACGUGGUGAAUGGGUUAGGUCGAGUGGGAUCAGAUAAGAUUGCUUUAGACUUAUCUUGAAUCUGACCUACUUUACGUAGCCAAGACUUGUUGAUAAAUUUGUCAGCAGAGGAAACACAAUUUUCUGGAUCAUCGACUUCUGCGACAGCCGCUCUUCUAUUCUUUCUUGUACUGAUUGCCGGAGCAUGCAUAAGCUGCUGCUUGAUGCUAUGUCCGGCCAUAAGCACCGCUAAACCAACAAAACCUCCUAUUAUAGCCACUGGUGCAAACUCUCCCAUUAUGGAGAACCUGUUUUAAAAAUCCAUUGAUAUCAAAUUUUGUGUUUUCUUUUCUGUGGAUUUGUUCUGUUUUCAUUUUGUUAUACUCAAAAUACAUAAAAUAAACUAUAGUUUUGAGAACCUCUUCAUGCUUGAGAAAAAAAUGAAAUAACAUAAACUGGUAAGGAAAACAUAGAAAUAAAAUUUAAUUUCUUUUGUAAGUUCUUUUUUAAGAUUAAAGAGUGAACCUCUUAAUAUAUACUCUAUACCAUACCAAUCUAAAAGGAAAAGAAAAUGAAAUUUAAGAUUUACAACUAGAUCGAACACUUUUAUACAAAAUUAAGAUUCUUUUAUAAGAAAGAACAAAUGGAAACAUGAAAACAAAUCACAAAAAUUCUAUUAGGCUUGUUGAAAUACUCAUAACAAGAUACUGAAAUUGAAACCAUAUACCAAUAUCUCUUACUUGUUAUAUGUUUGUUUGGCGCCAUCGGCGACCGUGGUUGUUAAACGACGAGAGCCACCAAAUUGGUUUCUAACCGGUCGCAAUUGACUCUAUAAAUUAAAAAGUUAAUAGAAAUGUUCAAAAAUUAUAUUUACAUUUGAAUAGACAAGAAAAAACAAAAAAAAAACUUACGGUGAUUCUGAAAGCCAUUUCGGUGAAAAGUAAUUUGCUGAGGAGAGUUAAGAAGCUGGAAGAGAAAAAUCCGAUUAUGUUAAAACCAAAACAAAAAGAGAAAGAUUGAUUGUAUAUAUACACAUUGAGGAUGAGACUAUUUAGGAUCUUUCUAACUACGAAUGGAGAAAAUUUCAAAUGGCAUCUUAUAUUUAGUCAUACAGAAAUUAAACCUUAUCCAUUGAUUGAAAUUUCCUUCUUUUUUUUUUUAGUACCAUAGGCUAAUAAUGUUUAAACAUCGAAAGAAAGAAAAAAGAAUUUUCUUCCUCUCGAUUUAGAAUUUUUUUUGUGAGGAAAAAUAAUAUACUAAUCCCAUUCCACCCUAUUCUAGGUUAGUUAGAGGAACGUAUAAUGAGUCAUAUAUGUUUCCGAUAAAAUAAAAAGAAAAAGUAAUUAUGUUAAGACGAUCGAAGUGUUACAAAUAUAGUUUAAAAAAUACUGUGCAAAAAAGUUCACAUAAACUCUCUGUACAUGCUCCCAAUAUUUGGACCUUGUCUUUGUGACAAUUGGGAGCUAAAGAAAGCAUUGCAUUACAUUUUCUAAUAACUAUCUGAAUUCUACUUUAAUUUGUUGCAUUUUCGAUAUAGUUUUUGAAAUUAGUAAAUUAAUCAAAACUUUUAAAUUUAUUCUGUGUUACACUAGAUUUGUUAGACAUCUAUAUGAUAUUAUUGUUUAAAGAAACUAUCAAUGUUUAUUAUAUCCCUUAUAUAUUUAUUACGUCUCAUACAAAACAUUAUGAGAUGAUACAUAUAUCUGAUGAGUAAAGUAUUAAGUAAUAAGACAAAAGCAUUCUAGGAGCGAAACAACAAUCAUUUGCUCUUUAGUAAUUUAGACAUAUAUAUCAUCGCUUUCCUUCUUCUUGUUGCAUAUCUUCGAGCAUUUUUUCAUGCAUGACUCAAACUUUUCCUCAUGGCCUGUUCUCAUCACUAAUUCCCAAAAGAAAAAGAAAAAAAAAAGAACAUUUUAGUUAAAUCCAAAAUAUUUAUAGGUUCUUAUAGUUUUUAAUAUCAAAUAGACAAAUAUAAACAUAAAUAAUAUCAGUUUUCGUGUUUGAAACUAUAACAACAACUUGUAAUAUCAAUGGUUUAAUACAAGAAACAUACGUAUGAGCCAAACAUUUAAUUAAACUGUUCAACUAAUAAAAAAAAAGUAAUUUGCAAAGGAUUAAGCUAAUCUAUAUACACAGAUCAAUCCUUAGUUAAUAAUACGAAGAAGAUCCAAACUUACUUGAGCUUUUGCCAUGGUGAAAGCACUUCUCAAAAGAACAACCAAUCAUGCAAUAUGAUGAUGAUUUUUCUUUUGAUUUUGGUGAAUGAGAAGGAGAUUUUGAAGAAAGAUCAAAAUCUAGUGAAGAAGAAGGAGAAUCAGAAUCUGGUGUAGGAGAAGGAGAUUCUGAAAAAAUAUCAUCAAAAUCAGGUGAAGGAGAAGGAGAAGGAGAAGGAGAAGGAGAAUGAUGAUGAUGAUGAUGAUGACGAUGUGCCUGAACCAAAAUGUUCUCCAUUCCCAUUGUUACCAUCAUCACCACCAUUAACAAGGCUACACUCUUUGUGUUCAUCAUUUUUUUUUUUUUUUCUCCGAGACUUAUCUUUACUAAUUAAACAAGUUUUUUUUGUGAAUGUUGAUGUUGAUUGCUUGGUUGGUUAUGUGUAUUUAUAUAGGAAGAUGUAUGUGUAAGUUUGUAUAGAAGGUGAUAAGAAUUAUUAAGGUAAAAUAACACAUAUAGAAUUAAAUUUAGGUGAUAUUCCACAUAUAUAAUGAUAUUCGCAUAGAUAUGGUUUACUAUUAUCUAAAAGGUAUAAAGUACUAAAUCUAUGUUUAAUUAAAUUAUUUCUUGUGAUCAUUUGGGAAGUAUUAUGAUUUUUAUUUGCAAGAUAAGUUACUCAAUCAUGUAGCUUUAAUAGUUUAUAGAUAUUCCUCGAAAUAACAUGAACUUGAGUUGUUGUAUGAACAAAAUAUAAAACUCUUAAAUUUUUAGUUUUUGCAUUUAUAAAAAAAAUUAGGAGUACGUAAAUCAAUCUUUAAUUAAUUGUAGUGUGUUUGUUGGUAGAUAUUAUGAUUUUAUUUGCAAGAUGAGUUAUUCAAUCAUGUAUUUCGAAUAAAUUCAAUAGAUUUUUUUCAAAUAGCAUAAAAUAUAUAAGUUUCUUUCUAAACCUAACAUAUAAUUCUUAACUAUCUAGUUUUCACAAUUUCAUAUAGUUGGAAAAAAAGAAAAGAAAGCAAGCUAUAAUUAAUUGUUGUGUAAUUAUAAGCAUGCAUUCCGAUUGUAAUUGUGUAAGCUGAGUUGUUCAAUCAUAUAUUUCACAAAUUCUAAGGAUAUUCUUCUACAUAGACUUGUAUUUAAUCUAAACAUAAUCCAUUUUUAUUUAAACACUGAUUUAAAAUAUGUAUUUAAAUAUGGUGUUAUUGCCUAUAAUUAUAAAUGAUACUUUAAAGUUUUAAAAUUUAACGUUUUUUUUUGUUACUGCAAAAUUUUAUUUUAUUUAUUAAUUAGUCUGGUUAGACAAAGCUCUCUCCAUAAAAAAGGAACUAAUCUAGAACCAAGUUGCUAAUGAAGGAAAUCAAAGAUUUUGGUGCCCUUAACUCUUUUAGUAAGACAAUCAACACAUUGUUACAACGUGUGAUAAAAACAAUAGAAUUAAAAUUAUAAGAAAAUCGCAACUUGAAACCAUUCCUAGCUAGCUCUAUAGAAAACAUAUAUUGUAUAAUACGCAUGAUUUCAUAACAUCUUCAGUAGUUUUGAGCAAUCUGACCUAGAAACCACAUAAAGUUUCGUUGCCCAAGGAGGGCAUAGAAUUUUGGUGUGUAAAAGGGAUACACAUGACACAUCUAUGAGGCCCCUUCAUAUUAACCUGACCUAGACGGCUAGACCACUAAAAGGAUUUUCUACUUGCCAUGAAUAAGCUACUAAACAACAAAUCCUUAACGAGAUCCCAUUACGUAAAACAUGGGCUGCUUCUUUGGGUGUCGUCGCUUGUUCUUUUUUCUUCCGGUAACAAAUCAAAAACUAACUUACUCCACGUUUUUCACAACAUCCCGGUUUCAGAAAUAUGAUGGUGCAUGCGCAGAUGUUUAAAAAAAUUGAUUUAGCCAUCUAUCUCACCAACAUACAUUUAUUUUUCGGUCAAUCGUCCUGAGAAAACUCCAAGGUUAAGGGUGCUUAAGCUGGAGCAUUUUCAGGAUGUGUGACCUUUCGCAAAGUAAUUAUCGGAACCGUGUUAGUUUGGAAAAAAACACAGAAAAAGAUCAUGUGGUGAUUUGUAUGGUCGAUAAAUAAAUCUUUAAAGCUUCCUGAACGUAGCAGACCGACCGCCGGACAUGAGUGGGGUCCACGGGCCCGAGAAAAGAAGUAAGUGCUGAUCACUGGUAAGGAUGGUCGAAGUUUAUAAUACCAUCCAAAAGUAAAUUUGAUAAUUGAUCCUUCUCCAUACCUACUUCGUUCAUUUGUCAAAAGAGAUAACCAAAGUUAUUAUUUAGCAAAAAAAAAAAAACCAAAGUUCUUAAAAUAUGGAGGUGCUCCAACAUCUUUCGAAUUAAGAUUUAUGUUGUUUCAUCAAAAUUUGUUGUUAUAAUUAAUAAAAUUUUGAUAUGAAAUAAGAAAAAUACAUGAAAAAUUAUCUUUAUUACAAGAAAGUUUUGUAUUAUGUUUACUCAUGUAUUUCCUAUUCUUGUAAUAUUGAAAAAAAAUCAAAGUUUUUUUUGUCGUAUUACAUAAUUAUUAGAGAUAUCUAAUCUAAUCAUAUCAUCAUUAUGAUAUUCAACUAUCUGCAGCAUAUACAAUUAUGAUGAACAGCUCUAACGAAUAAUGAUUCCAUGGCUUAAUUCUCUCCGCAACACUCGGAUCUUCAACGGACAGUUCUGCAUUUAUAACAUCCCUGCGAUAGACAUGCUCUCUCUGCAACAUUUAGACUACUACGAACGGCUCUGCAUGCAGUACUUUAUACCUCUGAUAAGUUCAGCAUUAUCAAUCUACAAAAAAAUUAUGUUCUCGGAAACUCAAAUUCCAUGCCUAAUGUAGAAGUAUUAAUGAACCUUUGCGGACAAAAGACACUUCCACAAAAAAAAUUGAAAAGUUUGACAAACAUUGGUCUUUAUUUUUUGGGUACGAGAAUAAAUGAGAUCGAGCUACAUAAGUCGGUGUGUAACAUAUUAUUAACUUCCCAUCAGUAAUAGAUAAAAUAGUGAGGGUAUUAUUGUAACUUCACAUAAACCUCGUCAACAAGAUCGAAACAAACCCACACGAACUACAAAAGACCCCAUCAGAGAUUCGAUUUGAUUCAGAUGUCCGAACUGUGCGAGUCGUCGUCGUCGUCGUCGUCGUAACUCAGUCCAAAAUCCACAAUCUUUCACUUCACACAGCCAUGGAAUUGCUUGACAUGAACUCAAUGGCUUCUUCAAUCGGCGUCUCCGUCGCCGUUCUCCGUUUCCUCCUCUGUUUCGUCGCAACGAUACCAAUCUCGUUCUUAUGGCGAUUCGUCCCGAGUCGACUCGGUAAACACAUCUACUCAGCUGCUUCUGGAGCUUUCCUCUCUUAUCUCUCCUUUGGCUUCUCCUCAAAUCUUCACUUCCUUGUCCCAAUGACGAUUGGUUACGCUUCAAUGGCGAUUUAUCGACCCUUGUCUGGAUUGAUUACUUUCUUCCUGGGCUUCGCUUAUCUCAUUGGCUGGUAAAGUUUAAACCUUUAUGCUUUUGGGUCUCUAAAUCUUGCUCCUUUUGAUCGAUUUUGUGAUUUUGUUUAUGUAGUCAUGUGUUUUAUAUGAGUGGAGAUGCUUGGAAAGAAGGAGGAAUUGAUUCUACUGGUAAUCUUUUUUCUCUCCAUUUGAUUCCAAUGUUCGAUGAUUUGAUGGUUUAUGUUCUUAGAAGAGUGUGGAGUUAGUAGGGAUAUUUUAAGAGUUUGAAUCUUUUAGAUCUUUGAAUCAUUGUAAUUAUUACAUUCUUUGAGGCUGAAUCUUGAUUGUGAUAAAUGUAUUAUAGGAGCUUUGAUGGUGUUAACGUUGAAAGUGAUUUCGUGUUCGAUAAAUUACAAUGAUGGAAUGUUGAAAGAAGAAGGUCUACGUGAGGCUCAGAAGAAGAACCGUUUGAUUCAGAGGCCUUCUUUAAUUGAGUACUUUGGUUAUUGCCUUUGUUGUGGAAGCCAUUUCGCUGGCCCGGUUUUCGAAAUGAAAGAUUAUCUCGAAUGGACUGAAGAGAAAGGAGUAAGUGUUUUUCUUUCUCAUUCUUCGGUCUAUGUACUUGUCGUAAAAGGGAGAUUCUUGAUUUAUUGAGUCUUGUGUGUGGAUUUCAGAUUUGGGAUGUUUCUGUAAAAGGAAAGCGACCAUCGCCUUAUGGAGCAACGAUUCGAGCUAUAUUUCAAGCUGCGAUUUGUAUGGCUCUGUAUCUCUAUUUAGUACCUCAGUUUCCGUUAACCCGGUUCACUGAACCAGUGUACCAAGAAUGGGGAUUCUGGAAGAGAUUUGGCUACCAAUACAUGGCGGGUUUCACGGCUCGUUGGAAGUAUUACUUCAUAUGGUCUAUUUCAGAGGCUUCUAUUAUUAUCUCUGGUUUGGGUUUCAGUGGUUGGACUGAUGAAACUCAAACAAAGGCGAAAUGGGACCGUGCGAAGAAUGUCGAUAUUUUGGGGGUUGAGCUUGCCAAGAGUGCGGUUCAGAUUCCGCUUUUCUGGAACAUACAAGUCAGCACAUGGCUCCGUCACUGUGAGUAACAAUGCAUAUCAUGAGAUCCUAAAGAUUGCCAUAUUUUAUAAGCCGUUUAACCGUUUCUUCCUUUUGACACAGACGUAUAUGAGAGAAUUGUGAAGCCCGGGAAGAAAGCGGGUUUCUUCCAAUUGCUAGCUACGCAAACCGUCAGUGCUGUCUGGCAUGUGAGUGCUCCUUCCCUUCCUUGUUAUACUCUCAACUCAGAUUAUGUUUGGGAAGUCUUGAAAAGUCGCGGUUUUUAAUUGUUUACGGCGAUAAAAAUUAGUUUUACUUGCUCGCACUGCGAAUUCUGCAUAAAGAUUCAAUCUUUAUGUGCCAAAGAGAGUAAUCAAAAUCUCUACUUGUUUUUUUUUUUUUUUUGGCAGGGACUGUAUCCUGGUUACAUUAUAUUCUUUGUGCAAUCAGCAUUGAUGAUUGAUGGUUCGAAAGGUACGAGACUCGCCUUCAUCUUUCAUUAGUGUUCUGUUUUGAUUUCAAUUUCGGUAAAUAAGUAUCUAAAAACUUCACCUUUUGCAUUGAACAGCUAUUUACCGAUGGCAACAAGCAAUCCCUCCGAAAAUGGCAAUGCUGAGAAAUGUUUUGGUUCUCAUCAAUUUCCUCUACACAGUAUUGGUUCUCAAUUACUCAUCCGUUGGUUUCAUGGUAAACACUCUUCCCUCCGGUUUUUUCGCGUAUCUUGCAACUGUUUUUUAUGUCAAAAAUCUCUCAUUUCUUGGGUAAUUUUUCAGGUUUUAAGCUUGCAUGAAACAAUCGUCGCCUUCAAGAGUGUAUAUUACAUUGGAACCGUUAUACCUAUCGCUGUGCUUCUUCUCAGCUACUUAGUUCCUGUGAAGCCUGUUAGACCAAAGACGAGAAAGGAAGAAUAAUGUUGUCUUUUAAAAUCAUCAACUUUUUGGGUUUUUUUUUUUUUUUUUCCUCUUGGACCGUUUUAUGUACACAACAGGAGAAAUAAUAUUUGAGUUUAUUUUUCUCCUUACCAAUUUUCCCCCAAAACCAUACUUUCGAUUUGUUUCUUUAAAACGCAAGAAAUGGGACAAAACAAGAUUUUAACAGAUUCUUCUCCAACACAGUGUUUUUAUUUGUUUAAUACUUUAGAAUUUAGAUAAAGCCAUAAGAAAGGAUCGCUGUAGACAUUUUAUGAGAAAUUAAGAAUAUUAUCAUCUUAAGACUACAUUUAGAUACAUGUUAUCGAUUUAGGGAAAACCGAAUCUCGAAAAGAGUGGUUAAGGUAAUAAACAGAGUCAUUAGGGGACAAUAAUUAAGGUUAAAAAGUUGUUAAUCUUUGUUUAAGUUAGUGUAAACACAUGCCAGAAAGACAAACGUUAUGAUUAAGAAACAUUAGCGAGAUUGCGAGACGAUGAGUGGACCAUAUACAUUUAUAUGUAAUCAAGUCACAUCAAAGUAUAUGGUCGGGAACUUACUUUAUACAUAAUCACAUUACUAAAUUCUUGUAACAAAAACCAAUUAUAUUGACAAAAAUAGUUUCGAUUAUAAGGUUCACCUAAUUAUUUGACAUGUUUUAAGUCUAGGUGCUCUUCUACGGACUAGUUAGCACUUAACGCGUAUUAGAACAUUAGUUUGGUUUAAUCAAAUUAUACAUCCUAAAAAAGAAAAAGAAAAAAAAGCACAUGAAUGGUCAUGAGAAUGAUAUGUAUAAUAUAACAAUUAGCAUCGAUUAGAUAUCUUUAAAAGUAUUGAAUGAAGAUCUAACUUUUGGUUUACUAAAGUAAAUUCAAGAGUGAUUAACUGCAUGGAAAAGUUAUAAUGAGAUAUGAACAAUCAACAAAGAAGAAAAGAGAGACCGUGUCGGCCAUAUGCACCACUUUUUUACUUUUAGUCAACAAAGCCAUGACAACAAAAAUCUAGUACUUAUCAAUUUACUUCUUCUUCUUUUUUGACAAAAUUAUUAAUUCAAAGUUUUCUGCUCGUUCAAAGUCCAUGCUAAAUCGAAUUUCGGCUAGUCUUGGAGCUCGGAAUAAUUCUGACAUUUGUCUUUCAUGUUGUAAGACAUAAGAAAAAGAAAGUGGAAUUUAAAGUUUCGAAUAAUUACUUCGUACGUAAAAAGACAAAAGGUACAAAAACGACUAUGUAUUUUUCAAGUAGUCUAGAGUCUAGACCAACAAACAUCUCUCGUUCAUUUGAAACUAAAUAGUUGAUUAGUAUUAGUAAUCUAAUUGAAAGUGUCAUGCGCAAAAUCAAGUAUAUAUGAUUUUAGCUAUAGUCUUAUCUAAAUAGAUAAAGAAGAAACUAGUAAUUUAGUGUAUAUUGUUAGUAAAACAAUUUUCUUGUUGGAUUAAAUUUUACUAUGCAGUCACGAAACCGACUAUUGCACACUCACACGGCGCAAUUUACCUCCCCCUCCAAUAGUUUAUAGUUUGUAUUGGAAACAAUAUUGUUCAACUUCAAUGCUUUAAUUUUGUUGUUUUGCUAUUUCAUAUAUUCCAUUAUUUAACUACUUGUCGUGCAUAUAAUUCAUAAUAAUAAACUGACAGUCCAAAUUUAUAGUAAUCUACUAAUUUUGUUUCAAUAGCUAGGGGAUGUUAUGAUGAAACCCGUGAGUUUAUUGACAGACAAACUAGCAAAAACCCACUUGCCCACAAGUUCUUGGCAAGCUAAAAACUAAAUCAUAUAUUGUGGAAUAUCAAUUAGAUUUACUCUUGUAGAAAAUUAUUGACUUAUUAUUUUUAACACUAGAUUCAGUGUAUUAUUCACAGAUUUGAUGCAAUAAUUAUUAUUCUAUUUAAAAGAGAAACAACUUUAAGCCUACUAUGACUUCGAUCUUAGAAUUCAAGGAAGGACGGAACAAUUAAAUUUCGCUACAAAUGGUCACUUUUUCAUGUCGACUCACCAAUAUUCACACUCAACAAAUAAAUCAAGACCAAAAUGGUAACAUUAUGCUACUACUACUCGUCAUUUAGAGUCGACAGAGACUUUCAAUAUGAGUCAAAAAUAAAAUAAAAACUGUGCAAAAAUAAAAUUUUGGCCGCUAUUUGAAUCUUUUAGAAUUAUAAGUGAAUGGACCCCAGCGAUAUCGAGAAAGAUAUGUGUUGUCUCCUCUCUAUCAAGAUAAUUAAUAAAACACAAAUACUAUAAAUAUUGCCCUUUCCUUAUCAAUCUUCUGAACAAUAAUAAUACUAAUAAACACAAAUGCAUAAAUAUUGCGCUUUCCUUAAUUAUCAAUCUUCUGAACAAUAAUACUAUAAUAGUCUUGUUUUGUUCCUCUUCUCUUUCUUUUGUUAAAAAGUUGAGUUAUACUGGAAAAAAUGAUGAGGCUUGACACAAAAAAAUAGUACUAUAUUAUACUAUAAUAAUCUUCUGAACAAAAAUAAUACUAUAAUAGUUGUGGGCAGUCUUGUUCCUCUCUUUACUUUACAUUUAGUUCGUGUUGUGUAUAUUGUCCGGGCUGCUCACUUUAUGUACAACAUUCUAGGAAAGCUCUCUACUCUUUCUUAUGACGAGAACUUUGUCAUCGAUUAAAACCGCUUGAUUUAUUUAGAUUGCAAUCUUUGAACCAAAAGUUUGUAGUGGUAGGAGAUUUUUUUGGAUCUAAAACAUUGUUUGUGGAAUUUAAUCUCCCACUGAUAUUUUGAUAAUCCGACGAGUUGACCAGAUGAUCGAAAUAAAUUUAGUUGAAAUUUUUUGUAAGGGAUAUUUUGGAUAUUCAAAUUAAAGCACGUAGUAGUUUGUUUUUAGGUUUUCUCUUCUUUUUUUUUUUUUUUUUUUUUUUUUUUCUAUUUUGCUUUCAUUUGAUUAAAGAAAAAAAAAUAGAAACUUCAAAAGUCAAUGUAAAAUCCACAUCGAAAGAAAAUUGAUGUCUUUCCACAUUGAAAAUAAACCACUAUAAAUUUUAUUUUAUGUGCCUUUUAAUUUUUUUUUUCAUUAUUUGAAGAUUAGAUUUGGGAUUCAAAUCCUACCAUCAAGUUAAUCUAGUUCUCUUGGGAAAAUUGAUUUGAUUAGACAAAAUCUUAUACUUUCCAUCCUAUUCAGAAAUAUAUAUAGCUAGAGUGAAAGAUGUAAUAACAUGUUUUUUUUGGUUAAUGUCUUUCUAUCUGCAUGACCUCAUUAGGGCUGGCCAAGAAUGAUUCAUGUCUCGGGACUAUUUCAAAUAAUCUUUUUUUUUUUUGUCACGGGACUAUUUCAAAUAAUCUAUGGAAGCAUCUUCCUAUGUAACCAAAACCUUCGUAAAUAUAACUGAAGUAUAAUAUAUUCAUCAAAUAUUACUUUAGUAUAAUAUUUUUAUAUGAUAUCUUUAUAGAUUUGUAUAUCGUAAAGUGGCAUAUAGAUCUAUUGAAUACUUUAUGAACAGGUAAAUGCAAUUAUUUUAUAAUUCUAAUUAAUUUUAUUAGGAAAGGUAAAUAAUUAUGCUUUAACAAAAAAAAAAAAGGUAAAUAAUUAUGAGUUAUUUGCCAUUAAUCAGUUUGAUAAAAGAAUGACUAUCAUCUUCGACCUUUUGGCAGUUUAAACAUGUCAAAUGGUCGGUUUGAAGUUGGGUCAGCCUAGCCAACAGAAGUAGUAGGCUACUCAAAAUAUUUAAAUAUAAGAAGUAAUUAAUUAAAAAAAUUCUUAAUCUUAUAUUUUGGGUUAGAUUCAGAAAUAAUUAGAAAAAUAUUUCUAAUAAACAUAUCUUUUAAUUUUUUUUUGUGUAAGAACUUUUCGAUGAUUCGAUGCCAGCAUCAGAGUCAAGUGUUGAGACAUGUCAAAUUUAAGUAUUGAAUUUUUGUCAUGACACUGCUUUUUAGCGUCAGACACGAUGACCUGAGCAUUAUAUAGCAUUAUAUGCAAAUUUAUACAAUCUAUAUGUUAAAUAUAUCUGAGUGUGUGAGUAUAUGUUGAAAACCUAUGCUAGUCUUAAGAAUGAUUCAACUAAUACAUACAUAUAUGAAUAUUGCCAUUCAAUACUUACAAUAACUUUAUUUUCUAAAAGCCAAGACGGAUGUUGUUUGUCAGCAAUUCAUACAAUACAAACAAGACUAUAAUACAAUUUUUUAUCAUCAGAUAAUAGUGGUUAUCAGCAACCAAAAGAUGUUACAAAUUAGACAAUAACCUAUUUGAUUCAUUUUAUUUUCCUAAUGGAGAUGAAGUAAGAAAAAGUAAGAAACUUAACUUAUUUAUGACUUUAUAUAUAUAUAUAUAUAUAUAUAUAUCAAUAUAUGCUUAAACAUACAUACAACAAAACAAUUUUAUCAACACAAACACGAAAGGAAAAACAAUUCAAGUACUUGAAACUUCACUAAAUACUAAACAAAUUAAUUCCCACUCAAAGUCGUCUCUUUCUCUGGUUAUUGUCCUGCAUCCCAAAACAAAAAAUCUUUUUCUGCUUGAUGCAUUUAAAAAAGGAAAAGAAAAAUGUGUAAUAUGUAUAAAAACAGUUGGAAAUUUCACCGAAUGGGUAUAGAUCUGGAACCAUUCAGUUAUACACAAAACAAAAUAAUGUCACUUAAAAUACCUUGACCCAUCAAUCUAUGCACAUUUCUGGAUUUUUAAGAACAAUGAGCUUUUAGUAUCAAUUUUUGAUCUUUAGAUAUACGAAAUUAGGAUUGUAUUCAUGAAGUUGUUCAUAUAAUCAAAACAUAAGAGACAAUCACAAGAAAAAAUGGGUAGAUACACUACUACUAAAAACCCUAAUCAAAAAUUCAAGAACUCCCCAGAGCCCUAAUUCAAGAACACUCCAAAGACAAAUGUGACUAAAAUUGUUAAACAUGAUUUGUCUUCUUAAAUCUUGAAAAAGUGGAAAACAUACGAUUAUUUAACAAAUCAUCUCAAACAAUCAUUGGGAGAAAGAAACAAAUGGCUCGCAUAAACGUGAACAAAGGAUCCAACAAGAAAUUAAACAGAUAUCAAUCGAUCAAUAGCUCCACAAGCUCUCUCCAUCAGAAUUUUCCGGCGAAUCAUCUGACGGAGGAGAUCCCAUCCACGGAGGAGCCACCAUCAUCCCUUUGGCCAUAUCCGCUAGCAAACCAGGCAUGUUCAAUAGCUCUUCUUCAUCCACAAACCCCAUAGUUGAAGAUCCCGCCGUAUCACAAACUUCCUCUUCCUUCUUUUCACCUCCCUUCACGGCCGCUGCAGCCGCACCCCUAGCCGCAGCAGCUGCGGCUGCAGCGCAUCUGAUAUGAGCUGCGGAAGAGGAAAGGGGACUGGGGUAAGAUCCCACGGAAUCCGGGAAGUUCAAGACGGUGUCUCCACCUUUAAGAGCUAAAGCCGCCACGUCAUAGGCGGCCGCAGCCAUCUCCGGCGUCGUAUAAGUUCCAAGCCAAACACGUGUAGUCUUCUUAGGCUCUCGGAUCUCGGAGACCCAUUUUCCACUCCGGCAACGAAUUCCCCGGUAAACCGGACGCUUUUUCCGGCGAGAGAUGUCGGCGUCAGUGGCCAUUAAAGUAUUAAUAUCAUUACCACUUGUAGUAGAAGUAGGAGCCGCAAAAGAAACAGUAGGAGUGAUAGUAUCAAGUGGAUAAGGGUUUUCACACGUGACAGAGUCAGAGAGGCUGACGAUGAAGAAGAAGAUUGGCUUCUAGCUUUAGGUUCAGUGAUAGGAGUUUUAGGGUCAGCCAUUUUUGUAUAAUAUAUAGUAUAUAAGUGAAUUUUAUAUGUAUGUUUGUUAUAUAUAAGUAAAAUAUAUAUAUAUAGAUGUGUAGAAAUAGAUUAGGGUUUUAGUGAAAGAAAUUAAGGUUUGUUAUGAAAAUCAAAUUCAACAAACAUUCCACUAAGAAAUCAAUGGUGUAAAAUCACCAACAAUUCCCACUUAUAAAUGGAUGGUGUAAAACAUUUAUGUGGAGACCACCAUCACUAAACAUCUCUAUAUUUCUUCUCUAUAUAUACCAUCAAAUUCAUUGUAAAAUGUACACCAAAAAAGAUCACAACAAAAUCAAUGCAAAAACUCUCUCUAUUUUCUACUUCUCUCUUAUAUUGAUACUUAUUUCUUAAGUUAUAAAAUCAUUCGAAAUACGUUUUCACAACAAGGUUGUUAAAUAUGAGAUGAGAGUGCGUUGUUAUUGCGUGGGGUUUCCCUAAAGUGUGUUUUGUUUGUGUUUGUGUUUGUGUUAGGUGGGGAUUUUUUUUGUAAUAGCUGUAAGAAAGUAAUACUACAAUUUUAAUUUGUUAAUUUUUUUUUUACGAAAAUAUUUUGGUUUUUUUUGUUAUACUCUUUAUUGAUUCAGAUUUUGUUUUUGUUUUUUGUAUAAUCAAUUAAAAUGGAUGACAUCUGGACAUGUCUGUGACCGGCGGCGAUUUUUUUUUUCUGUAGACGUCUAAUUAAACCCAAAAAAAUUUCAGUCAAACAUGAGAGAACAAUGUAACACUUUCAUGUUCAUAUCAAUUUACUAUUAUUAUACAUACUGAUUUGUUUAUGAAGUUUUUUUUAUUAUUUUUUUUCCUCAUUCAUGAUGUUUACAAAAUUUGCAAUUUACAGCUAUCAUUUUAAAAACAAUCUGAUUUUAGAUCCUAGAUCGAGGCCCAAUAGCCUAGUAUCUCAUUGGUUAUCACUUAUCCCCAGCUUAAGAGCAUGAUUAUAGGUGGGUUCUUAGAAAUUGCUCUUAGCAAUAUUUAAGUAAUUUAUUUAUAAAAGUGAUUGUUAAGAGAUAGUAUUUUUGAGUUAAGAUUUUUGUGUGAUUAAUGGUAUGCUCUUAACAUGUGGUUCUUAGAAAAAAAAAUAUUAAUAUAAAAAUACAAUUUAUAAUUAUAGAAAAUUUAUUAAUUGUUGCAAAUUAAAAAAAAUUAAAACAUACAUGAGAUACAAUUUAUAACAUAAAUAACAUAAACCACAAAUGUUUUAAACUUGAUUUCUGGAAUAUUUUUGUCCAUAUAUGCAUAGCUCGAUCACGAAGUCGAAUUCUUAGUGGCCAUCAUAUCGACGAGAUUUGAAGGCAUUUCUAUAGAAUUUUUGGAUUAAGUAGCAAGAUCAAUUUUUGGAUGAGUAUAAACGUGUGUGGUAUGAGUUUGUGAGAACAAGUGAAUAAGUGACAAGAGUCAAAAUCUAUUAAAAGAGUUUUUGGAAUCCCAAACAACAUCCAAAAGUUGGGAUCAAAGCUCACAAUUAACAGAUUUCAACAAAAUCGAAAUCCCUAGUGAUUUUGAUUUUAAACCAAUCUAAACUCUUGAUCACAUAUAAACAUAAAAGUCAUCUUCAAGGUCCAAAAACCUCGAUUUUACAUAUGCUAGAUCGUCUUUGUGCUUCCCGCUCUUGUCGCUUAUUCUCUUUCUUCUUUGAUGCUCAGGAUUGGGAUCCACCAGCUUCAUCUUCAUCUUCAUCUUCACUUCCACUGAUGUUUUCUGCUUCACAUAUACCCAAAGAAUAUUCGAAGGCCAAUAGUUCACUUAACUCCAAGACCUCUCUAAUCUUAAACUACAUUCAUAGCAAGAUACAUGACAAAUGAAACAAAAAAAGUUAUGGACUAUUCUUGAAUAAAUGGUUUCGAGUUUAGACCUGCAGCAGAAGCUAGUAAGAGCAAUGAAAUCUUCAAAACAAAACAUUAAAAUAGAAUGGCUGAAAAAUUAGCCAGAAAACAAUGUAGGAGAAAAUACAACAUAUUAUUGAAGACUCACUAAUCUGACCAACAAAACUCAUCUUCCGAGUAAGUCUAUGAUUAAAAGUAAUUCUAAUCAUUCAUUAUAGCAACCAAAACACAUUCAGGUCAAGUGAAGAGAGGUCAAAGCAGCUAUACAUUCAUACUAGUAAUUGACAUAGCCUUGGAUUAGUGUGACCGCUCAAUUAUAACUAUAAAUCUGCAAACUUUCUUAUUCAAUUUAGCAAUAGAAGAUGAUCAAUUAUGAACUAACCCUAAUCCAGAACAAAAUUAGAAAACAGAGUAAUCAAAUCCAAUAACUCAAUCCACCACUAUCCAAUGAAAGUCAAAACAAAUCCAAAUCUCAGAGAGAGAGACAAUACAUAUCCGUAGAGAAACCUAGAAGCGAAAGGAGCAGUGGAUGCAUCAGAAAGUGCAGCGGUGGAGAUGAUGAACUAACACCGGAACGACGGCGAUACCUCCGAUUUGAGUCUCUGGUUUUCAUUCUCUCGAUGAAAUCGCGCGAGAGAGAGAGAGACAGAACGCGAAAAAGACUUUUAAAAAAAAGCUCUUUUUUCCUUUCUCUUCAUUUACCACGCUCCAGUCUUUUCUCGACACAUGUCCGCCUCUUAGAUGGAAAAAUGUUCCUUAGCUAAGGAACGUUUGUUAGUGUUAAAGGAGUAUAUGCAUUAAAUUUAAUCAGUUUUAUCCUAAGAUUUCUCUAAGAUUUACCUAACAUCCUGCCUAUAAUCAUGCUCUAAUAUUUCAUUGAAUAUAUCUUUAUAAGUUGUGUUUCUCUCUAUGAUAUUCACUAUUCAGAAAAUAAAAUAAAAUAGUACAAAUCUACUAUCACUUUUUUCCUACUGUAUAUUAAUUAUAAUGUGAGAGGAAAAAAAAAAUAUUAGUUAUAAUGUGGUUUACGUGACUGGUUUAUUGCAGGUAAGGAUCAAAAACGGAUAAUUGAAAUAUAUUAUCCGAAGUAUAUAUAUCAGAUUCAGUUAAGUUUUAACUGAAAGCACUUCUCCAAAUGUCACUAACUUAGAUUUUGAAAAAUAUGUGUUAGACUCGAAUUCAGUUCAGAUAGUUUUGUAUAGAAAGAUUUUUUUUUUUAAUAACUUAUAACAUUAGAGAUUUAAAAUCUUAAUCGAGUAAGAUACAAACCUUAAUUCUAAGAAUCAUAAUUUAAAAAUACCAUAUCCAAUAACACCAAACUUUAAAUUUAUAAGUAGUGAUCAAAUAACAAUGAAUUGUAAUAAAAUUUAGAUAAGAAAAUGAAUUGAACACAAGAUACAAAAUACAUGAGACUGGAUAAAUCUGAAUCCAAAAGUUAGGUUUAGGCCCAACAGCCCAAUAUUCAGAUGGGCAUAUAUCUUUCGAUAGGUUCGUUGGCCCUAUUGGUGUAAUAUUACAUUAGCCUUUAAUACACACAUAUGUUGGACAUUUGGUUGUGAUUAGUCUCCUCGGAUUCAAGACGAACGAGAGCCGGCCAUGAAUAUGUUUUGCCCUAUAAAUUAUUUGACUAAUCGUUCUGAAAUUUGAAGCAUCCAUCUUCUAUUCAUUCGUAUUUUAACUCAAUAACCAACAUAGCCACUGACUUUUAAUUCUAAAUAUCUAGUUUGUUUGUAGUCAAAACUGACUCUGGAACGAACCACGCUACUAAUAAUAUCUAUAGAAAAACAUAAAUCAUCCUUCAACUAGUAGAGUUAACCAUGUUUGGAUAUAAUGUUAUUCUUAAGGAAAUAUAUAUAAUAACUUUGUAAAGUUUAUAGAAGAAAUAUACAUUACAAAAUAUAGAGCUACAAUGGUUAAAAGAUUAAAGAUUUAAAAUGAGUGUGAAGCAGACGCGCAAGUGACACUCACUUAACAGUAUUAAGCAUUUACUCCAACAAAAUUGAUUGGGCUGUUGUCCCGACCCCGCCAUAUCUGCUCUCUAUAACUUAUACUGUCAUACAUAAAUACAUAAUUACUCCAACGUAACAUACAUAAUUAUAUUACUAUAUUUAUUUAUUUUUGUCUUUUUAGAAGAAAUGCACGAUAUCUUUCUCUAAAAAAUAAUAUUUGUCUCUUUCAAUAGAAAAAAAAAAACUAACAUAAAGGAAUAACACUUAAAAUUAACAUAAACAGAAAAUAAAUUUGUGAUUUUUUAAAAACGUCGUAACCUUUUUUUUUUCUUUUUUUUUUUUUUUUAAACGUCGUAACCUUAUUACUAAAACAUUCAUGUUUCAAUUUUUUUAUCUUAAAAAUAAACAUAUGAGACGUUCAUGCUCGUACGUCACAUUUUUUUAAUAAGUAUUUUCGUAUACUACGUACUACAGUCUACGAUAUAUAUAUAGUUCAUAGUUGUUACGUUUUAUCUUCAAUCGAACACGGAUCUAUGCUUGCGAUCACUCAACAACUCUUGAAAGAAACUCAAAUCAGCUCAAGAAUAAAAUCGAAAGCAAGAACAUAAAGAACAACAACACUCAAGAUUUGUUUACCCAGUUCAAUAAGAUCGGUAUGAUCAAGUCUACGUAUCGGCCGAAUCAACUCGGCAAUCCACUAUAUCAAGGCAAUGUAUACAAAUCAGGGCAGAGCUCUUAACAAUGGAUUUUUCUUCUUAUAAAGAAAUCAGAAUCGACUAAGGAAAAAGAAAGAUGUAUGUGACUAGGCCAGACCCACCCAUAAAGCAGCAAAAACAUUUGCUUUAGGCCACAAAAUAUAAAAAAGUUUUUAGGGCGACAUUAUUAAGACACUUGCUUAGUCUUGGUGAUUAUGUAUUUUGUAAAUUAGAAUCAAGUCCCGAGUUCGAACCACUACUUUUAUAGAUUUUUUUCGUUUUUAUACUUUUUUCGUUUUGUAAUUUGGUUAUGAGUACUAUAAUAUUUUUUUCAGAAAUCUUUCACGAAAAACUCGCCUUCGAUCGUUUCACGAAAAAAAAUUAUAUAAAUAUUUAUAUUAUUUAUAUAUCAUUUAGACCACAAAAAUCCGAAGACCGGCCAUGUAUGUUAGUAUUUAUACCAAUAGUCAUUAAAACAGCAAACCCUCUCUCGCGAAAAGAGGAUCUCCUUUUGCUUCUUCAAUUCAUGGUUCACCAAGCUCCAUUAAACUGGAUACCAAUUCUUCUUAACCAAAUGAUUAAACCAAUCCUAAGAUUGAAUCAGAACUUCAUAUCACAAUAAUAGUAAAUAUGUUCGAUCAUUAAUUCUAACAUAUGUAGCUUUUCUUCAGAUGUUAUGUUAUAAGUUUUUCUUCAAAUGGUCCAUUGUUUCUUCAUAGCAUGGGGGUAACCCUAAAAGUGAGCGAAGAUGAAUGUACAGUGAAAAAAUGUUACCCCCACGCAAAUCCCACGUGAUAUUCACAGCUAGUUUAAUAAAAAGGUCACGUGCUUAAAAUUCACCCAAUCCAAAAACCCACUAAAAUCAUUUUCACGAGGAUAAUAAAAUAUAACGGGCUCCACCAUUUUUUUUUUUUAACUUUUAUUGUUCUUGUCUCAUAUUGUUUGAUGAUUUUAAAAUUCUUAUGUAAAUACUACAAAUAUUUCUUGUUGAUACCAAAGAAAAAAAAUUAGCAGAUUAAAGUAUGGUCAUAUUUAUUUUAUGUGAUUACUAAUGUUAAUUUCCUAUUUUCUAAUAAUUAAACUCAUGUAUAAAACAUCAAAUUGAAGCUCAUAAUAAUUAAUCAUGUAUUUUCUAAGUUUCCUUUUUAAGGUCAUAAAAUUUUCUAAGUUUCCUUUUUAAUGUCAAUAAUUUUCUAAAUUUGUUCAAAAGAAUAUUACAUGCAGUUCUAGGAGUUUUUGUGACGAUAUAUAAAUUUGUAACAAAUCGUUUUUUUUCCACUUCAACAAAAUAGUAGGAUUUAUAAUUUUAAAUCUCUAUCAGUUACAAAUUUUUAACGAUUAUAAACAGCUAAUAUAUAAAAAGGACGUUUAAAUAUCUGCCAGAUGGCAUUGACACAACUAAAAGUUGAUAAUUAGUAUGUCUUACGCGCGUUCGUUUCGUUGUGGGUCUCACCAAGCAACGCCUAUAUACUCUCUUCUCACUUCACUAUUCUACUUCACUUCCAUUAAAACAGAGCAACGUCAAGCAACACACUAAAGCUUCAUUUCAAUUCUAUUUCGAAGAGCACCCAUUCAGGUAUUUUCAGCUUUUCUUCAUGUACAUUUGACGAUUAUCAAGUGACGUCUCUGAUAUUUCUAAUCCUCUGUUUUUUUGGGAAUUUUACUCUGUUUAUAACUAUAUUUCAAACUCAACAAAAUCUUGAAAUUGUAAGAAUUUAAGUAGGAUAAUACUUGAAAAUUCAGUUUUUUUAACAGAUUUAUGAUUCUGUAUCCGUCGAAAUUUCAAUUUUUUUUUUUCUGUUUUUUCUGUUUUGGCUUGAUUUUAUAUGAAUUUUACUCUGUUUUUCCACUAUAUUUCAAACUCAAGUAAAGCUUGAAUUCAGUUUGAUUUUGAGAACCCAAUACGAUAAUUUGUGGGGAUGUUAAGUUUUUAACAGAUUUUUAAUACGUAAACCGUCGAAAAUUUUGAUCUUUUUGUUUUUAGUUUUACUUAACAUUUUACUCUGUUUUCAUCUGAACCAGAUCGGAUAUGGAAAACGACGACAUCACCGUGGCGGAGAUGAAGCCAAAGAAGCGUGCUGGACGGAAGAUUUUCAAGGAGACACGUCACCCAAUCUACAGAGGUGUGCGGCGUAGGAACGGCGACAAAUGGGUCUGCGAAGUCCGUGAACCGAUUCAUCAGCGCCGAGUUUGGCUCGGAACUUAUCCGACGGCGGAGAUGGCGGCACGUGCUCACGACGUGGCGGUUCUUGCUCUGCGCGGGAGAUCCGCGUGUUUGAAUUUUUCUGAUUCCGCUUGGCGGUUGCCGGUGCCGGAAUCAACUGAUCCAGACACGAUCCGGCGUACCGCGGCCGAAGCAGCGGAGAUGUUCAGGCCGCCGGAGUUUAGUACUGGAAUUACGGUUUUACCCUCAGCCAGUGAGUUUGACACGUCGGAUGAGGGAGUCGCCGGAAUGAUGAUGAGGCUCGCGGAGGAGCCGUUGAUGUCGCCGCCAAGAUCGUACAUUGAUAUGAAUACGAAUAUGUACGUGGGAGAAGAAAUGUAUUACGAAGACUUGUCACUUUGGAGUUACUAAAAUACGUGUUUUUAGAUACGUAUGUCAUGUGUAAUGUAUGUAUGUGUGGUAAGUAAGUUAGUAUUUUAUGAAAAAACCCAAAAAAAAAAAAAAAGGUUAGUAUUUAUGCCAUUUAUAAAAAACCAAAAUAAAAAGUUAGUAUUUAUGUUCGUGUGGUAAGUAAAGUUAGAUUUUCCGAAGAUUUAUAGAUCCACUGUUGGAAAUAGAAGAUUCUAAGAAGUAAUAAUUUUGUGCAAAACAUUUUUUUUUUUUUUUUUUGUCAUCCGAAAUUAAUUAAAACUCAAAAGACCCAUUCCUGAGGAAUGUUGUUUACAUACGUGAUAUGAAUCGGUUAUGUACGAAUUUUUCGUGCCAGAUUAUCCGCAAAAGAUUCUUGGAAUCUUUAGUUUAUUGUGUGUGUGUGUUUUUUUUUUCUUGAAAGGCAAGUAGGUUUGCUUUGCUUUAUAUUUGCAUAAUAAAUGGGCAUAAUGAUGGGCUUAAAUAUGAUAGGUCCAACCUAUAAUGUUAAAUGUGUUUUUUGGUUUACCUAGUUUCCUAGGUAUUUACUAAAAAUGUAUCAAUUAGUAUGUAAUGUGUAGAAGUUUUAUAAAGAAAUAAUCUAAAAUAUUGUUGUCAAUAAAUUAAACUAAACGUAUUUUAUAUAAUUUUAAACAUAAGAAAUAAAGAUAAUAUAAAAGCGGAUAAUCUAGCACGAAAAAUUCGUAUAGAACCGUUUCAUUUCACAUAUGUAAACAACAUUCCUCAGGAAUGACUCUUUUGAGCUCUAAUUAAUUUCGGAUGACAAAAAAAAAUAGAAAAUAAAGAUAAUAUUAACUGCAUUUUAACCCAAACCUGAGACAAAAACACAUAAAAAAAAAAAAAAAAAACUUUGAAACCUUCUCAACAUGAGAAAAAACAACCUCUCAAGUAACAUCUUUGGUUCAGAUUCCAUUAGAAGAUUUCAUUUUUGUUCUAUGGGUGGGUGUGUGUAGCGAGGAGAACACACAAUGAUGGGCGUUUUUUAUAACCUCAUUUGGAUGUUGGACUACAGCAUAAUAAAAGAUGGUCUAAAUUUAAAGGCCCAUAAUUUUAAAAGACUGUUUUUUUUUUCUCAAUCAAGAAACCGAUGUAUUUUUGUUUUGUUUUCUUGUUUUCGUUUCUUAAUUACCGAGAAAAUAUGUAUUCUCCAUCUCUGUCUCUUCCAUCGGGUUUCUUCUGAUUGUUUGUUUGCUAUUUUCAGCUUUCCUGAGCUGUGUUGGAGAAUUCAAUGUUUUUUCAGAUAAAUAAAAUGGCAAAUCCGAAAAUAAAACUUAAAUAAAUAAUAAAGCUGUUUUAUUACCAGACAAAAAUGAUGUAUAUAUAAUGUUGACCAGAGUGUACUAUACGUCUAUACUAUGUUCACUUCACACAAACAAGACGUAUCGUACUAUCGUGUUGAGAUCCAUUUUUUAAAAAAAUUAUUAGAUUAUAAAAUCCAUCAUUUUGUACCAAAACAAAAAUAAAAUCAUAAUUUUUUUAUAACCGGAAAAGUCUUAGGAUUUAAUACACGCAAACUAAUCCUAAAAUCUACAAAAAACGACUUUUUUUACUAGUAGCUAUAAAGUUUAAGGUCAAUAGAUCAUGCAGUAAAAUCAUAUCACCAUGAGUCGGACUAUAAUCAUGUAGUAAAAUCAUAUAUCAUGUGAUUUUUUUUGUUAGAUAAUCUUCUGAGUAUAUUUUAUUUGUAAUAAUCGGAAAAAGAAUCCCAUACUAGUUUCUAUAACAUGCGAGGUCUCAUUCUCAAUUCAAAAGUGAAAUGUUUUUUAUUUUCCCUUCCUCUUUGCCAGUGACUAUGAUCCAAUGGUCACAAAUGGAUCAUUACACUAAAGACAAACGUGGUCUUAUUAUAUAUAGAUUAUAGAGCUUGGUAAAAUUUAAGUAUUCGACUGACGAUAUGAUCUCUUUUAUUAAAUAUAACUUUCACGGAAAAUCCAUUUGCAGAAAGCUUAUCCCUAUAAAGCGACUUUUAAAAUAUUAGCUUUCCAUGAAUAUAAAAACUUUAAUCUUCGACAAAAAAAAAAACUUUAAUCUUUUUUUUUGCCUUUUUAUUAAGAUUUCAUAUAUGUAAAGACAGACAUACGGUGGAAGCCCCUUUGGCUCAUUGGUUGACUAAGGGUUAAUUAAUGUUUUUAUACCAAGAGGUCUGGGGUUCGAGUCCCAGAUAUUGUAAUUUAUUAAUUUGCAGAUUAAUGGAGGCAAGUAUGCAGAAGAACUCCAACGAUGUACAAUUAUAGAUGUUCGCCAAGAUUCUACGCAGAGAGAGAAAUAUCGUCAGAUCGUGGAUCAUUGAAGGGUGUCCGUCAAGAGCAUGAAGAAGGAAGUGUCGUCUAUCGUGGAUCUAAUAAGGGUCGGAAAAAAUUGUCCGUUAUAAAAUCGUUUAUGUAACCGUUUUCAAAAUUUGCAAUAAAUAAUAAAUAUAGAGAAAAAAAAAAAAAGGCAGACAUAUGACCAUGUAAGUUUUCUCCCUUCACGCAACCACGUUGUGACUUGUGAGUAACCAACUUAAAAAAUAAUGAUAUUUUUAAGGGAUUUGCCCUUAAAUUAAGUGGACUAGAUUGUUAAAUUUGGGCUAAUUGUGGGCUUCCAACUAAAAACCAAUUGGCAAUUAAUGGAUUGACCAUAACCUUUUAUAUAUUAUUGAUUGUCCCAUCAAACUUCCGAUGUGGGACUUGGAUUGUAUCUCCAACAAUCUCCCCUUCAAUCCAAUGACCACAUGGAUCUUAACACACCUCCUCGAUCCCUCACUCGGACCGAUAAUAAGCCCCUUUCUCGGGCCCCCAUUAUUCGGGUUUGAGGUAUGUCCGUAUCCACUUUUCUAGGUCCACCAGAAUUUGAACCUUGGGCUCUGAUACCAUGUUAAAUUUGGGCUAAUUCUGGGCUUCCAACUAAAAACCAAUUGGCAAUUAGUGGAUUAGCCCUAACCUUUUAUAUAUUAUUGAUUGUCCCAUCAAACUUCCGAUGUGGGACUUGGAUUGUAUCUCCAACAUAGAUAAACUAAUCGAAAUAAGUGUGUUGCGAUAUUAGAAAUCCGAUCCUCUUCAAGUCCUCCUCAUAAUAUAAAAUCAUUUUUUAGUACUAUACUAUAUGGUUUCUUUCAAGUAAUAGAAAUAGUGUAAUACUAUAUUUAAAUCUUUAUAAUUAGUGAAAAGAAACUUCUUUUGUUAUUCAUUUCCCAUCGGCCGACCCAAUUAUUAAACCGAAGUUCUUUUUUUGUGCGGCGAUUUGGGGAAACCGUAAAAGCAAUCCUUUUAGUUUUAUGUAUCGUAGGACCAUGCAUGAAGUUAACUUUUAUUGCCAAGGGCACGACCCGAUUGGUUGUUUUUUAUCAGAGGAUUGGCAACAAGUUACAAACAACAAACACUGUAUUUAUUAGACGUUUUAAGUUCCCAUUUCUUUUGACGUCACCAGGGUUGGGCAAAUUAAAAUAACCGAAACCCAAAAUACCGAACGGAACUAAACCAAAACCUAUGGUUUGGUUUGGUCAUUUUUUAGCAUAAAAAUCUGUUUGGUUGUAAAUUUUGGAUCUUAUUGGUAACAUUGCAUAAUCACCUAAUCACAUAAUAACAUUAGUUGCAGAAUAAAAUUCGCAAAAUGAAAACUUGCAGAAUGAAAAAUAGCAAAAUGAAAUUACAUUAAAAACAUGUUGAUUGGAUACAUUUUUCGAAAUGGUAGAAUAUAAUAUUAUAUUACCAAUAUAUAGUUAUAUUUAAUAAACAAAAUACUAUUUUUAAUAAAUUUAAAGUAAUAUUUUAUAAUAAAAUAUAUAAAUAUUAAAUAUUGUUAAAAUUUGUGAAAUUUUUAAAUAUUAUUUGAAAAAUGAUAUAAGUUUCAUAGUAAACAAUUAUUUUCUUACUUUUUAAUUGCUAAUAUUCUAAUAAAAAUUCAUUAUGCAAAUAAACAACUAUAAACCCACUUAUUUGCAUAAUGAGUUUUUACUUCUGUUUUUAGGCGAAAACGCAAAUCCUGCGUUUUUUGCGUUUUCUAAUGCGAUUAUGCAAAUUUUCUUGAUUAGCAAUUUUUUUGCAUAAUCACAUUAGAAAACGCCAUUCUGCCAUUAUGCGGUUACCAACCGGAGCCUUUAUCAAGUUCUCGGUUUAGGUAUGGUUCAGUUAAAACCGUAAAACCGAAUGGUUUAUUGGUUUUUGAUUAAAAUUAAAAAUAAUUAUAUAUAAAAGUAUUGUUCAGUUUAUAUUGUGAUUAAUAGUAGUAUCAUUAAAAAAAGUCUUUAUUGAGCUUAUAAUUAUUGACUUGUUAGUAAUUUAGAAACCAAAAAUUUAGGAAUAAAAAGGAAAUCUAUUGAAUUACAAAACCCUCACCUAAACUUAUCAACAUUACUUAUAAUUAUGCAUCAAAAUUAUAUUUUUUUUUGUAAAAACAUGAAAUAACCGGAAAAACCGGAACCAAAUCGAACCGGAAUACUUAUGGUUUUUAUAUGGUUUCAAUUUUUAGAAAAUUUAGAAAAACCGUAAAAAGCUAACCAUAACCAAACCGAAUUACCACUACAAAAAGAGUCAGUUGCAUCAAUUAAUUUGUGUCAAAAAAUUAAAUGAUAUUAAUUUGAGUUAUUUAUUAUACAAUUGAUACAAAAAUUAUAAUUUAACAUCACUUGCAAUAAUUGAUGCCAUUGUUGAUAUAUAUGACAUCAUUUCAUUUAAACUGAUGCAAAUCUAGAUCUAUUUGCAUUACUUUCACAAUAUUGAUACAAAUUAAACAUAUGAAUUUACAUCAUUUAGAAAAUAUUAUAAAAUUUAAAUCAAUAACAGUCGAUGCUAAUUCAAGAAUGAUCAUAAGUCGUAAAAAGCAAUGUAAUUGAUCACUUAAUUUGUCAACAUCCCACAUUGCUCUCACUAAAAAAAGAAGUUUCAUACUUUUCUUAUAUAUGGUGACCUUGGUUUUUAUGGUGUCAACAAAGUGUAUAGUUUAAUAAGAAGUAAUUGUAAUCUCAAAUAGAUAUAAUCAUUUGCUUUCAUAUUGGUUAAUAAAAUAAAAUAAAUUUGUUUGUUAAAAGAUUAUUUAAUAUGAUUUUAUAAAAUUUUAACAUCAAUUAUUUAUAAGACACUUAACAUCACUUAUUAUUACCGUAGCAAAUAUUUACAUCAUUUUGAUAAAUUGAUGCAAAUUCUAACAUCAUUUUUGCAACUAAUGCAUAUUAACAUCGAUAUAAUGAGAUCUAAAAGAAAAUAGAAGUUUAUUGAUAAAUAUGACAACUCAUGUAUAUUUAUUUCUCUUUCUCACUUACCUAAAGUGUGUAUAUUUACUUCUCUUUCCUCUUUACCUAUAGAGUAUUUUUAAUAUUUUUAUCUAUAAUAUUUGAUAUUAAUAUUUAUAACAUAUCAUGUAUAUUUCAACUGUUCAAAUAAUUAAUUUCUAACUAUGUUAUUUAACACGUACAUGAUAAAAAUAUGUCAUCAUUGAUUCAUGAAAUGUCAAAUACUUUCUUAUAAUACACUUUGAUGUCAAUUGACCUAUCAGAAUUCAGAUUUGUCAACGUAUUGACAUAAUAUCCAUAUCAUGACAUUUAGAUAUAGUUUUUGGUAUGAAUGUAAAUAUCAUUUAACAAAAACCAUAUUUAUCUCGGUUCACAACCUAUCUAAUUGGUCUCAACUGGCUUUUAACGUCACAUAAACAUAUAUAUCGUAUAUCUGAUGGUAUUAGUCUAUUAAAAUGACAUGUAUUUUUUUUUUUUUGUCAUCCGAAAUUAAUUAAAGCUCAAAAGAGCCAUUCCUGAGGAAUGUUAUUUACAUAAGUGAUAUGAAGCGGUUCUGUACGAACUUUUCGUGCCAGAUUAUCCGCCUUAACAUUAGCCCUACGAGAAAUUAAAGAUAAAGAAAAAGAUGAAAACUCCUCCUUGUUGCUCUGAAAUUCCUCCAAAUACACUAAAAACGCCGGCCAUUCGGUUGGAGAAGACACCAUCUUCACCAGGUCUGAACAGUCUGUAAGGAACGCUACCUCUUGAUUAUCUGCACCAAUCAUACACUUCAUCGCCCAGAGAAGGGCCUCGAAUUCGGCAUGUAGUGGAGAUAGACUUCUACGGAGGUUCGCAGCUCCCAUGGUUGGCGGCUCUCUAUUUGACGAUGUACAGAACCAGCCUGUACCAGAGAACUUAUCACUUUCUUUCCAUGAUCCAUCUACAAAACAACGGUAUCCCGAAUACUCCGCCUCAAGUGAAACAUCCCUCACUCGAAUUCGAUCUACCAAGUGCACAGAACCAUGAUUUUCAUUAUGGAGCUCAAUUUGAGCGGACUGCCACAAUUGUGCCUCUUUUUCCGCUAAUCGUAAUACUUCUAAAGGGUCUGUGUCUAUGUUUUCAAAGAUCUUUUCGUUCCUCGCUUUCCAAAUAAACCAAAUAAUCCAUGGGAAGGCUGAUGAAUCAACUUCCGUAGGUAUUCUCCAAAAUAAGUGAUCCAAAUUAGUAAAAUUAGAUUCCGUAGGAAAAAUCCCCAUAGCCGUAGGAAUCUGUGAAAGCGCCCAAAUCUGCCGUGCUGGGUGGCACUGAAAGAGUGUAUGAUUGAUCGUUUCCUCUGAUGCGCCACAUCUGGCACAUCCCGUGUCACAAUCAAUUCCUCUUUUCCGUAAAUUUUCCGUAACCGGUACACAUCCCGUUAAGAUUUGCCAUAUGAAAUGGCGUAUCUUAGGUGGACACUGCACUUUCCAAGAAUAUGCUUUUAACGGGUUGAUGUUAGGGCCAAAAAAGUUUAAAUUGGUCUCCGACGUUUCCAUCCGUGUAGAAUGAUAUCCCGAUUUGACUGUAUAUUUUCUGGAUUUUGUAAAAUGCCAACCUAAAAAAUCUUCUUUUGUUGGCGCACCCACAGGUAUGGCGCUUAUUAGAGCGACAUCUUCUGGGUUAAAGAUCUCUCUUAAGAGAUCAAUAUUCCAAAAAUUUGACCGACUAUCUAUAAGGUCUUUAACUUUUAGAGAUGGAUCAGCAACUGAACCAUUACUUUUUGCUGGUCUCGGGAAUUGAGCUGGAAUCCAGGGAUCCUCCCACACCGAGAUGGAUGUCCCAGAUCCGACUCUUUUAAUAAGUCCUUUAUUAACCAGAGAUCUAGCUGAACAUAUACUCCGCCAUCCAUACGAUGGGGAAUAUGAUUUUAUAUUUUCCAAAGGAUUGGAUUUCCUAAAAUACCGUCCUUUAAACACUUUUGCGAAUAGAGAAUCUGGAACCGUAAUCAACCGCCAUAAUUGUUUUGCUAGUAAAGCUGAAUUAAAAUCGUCCACAUUCCGAAAUCCUAUCCCCCCUUCCGAUUUGCUAUUGCACAAUUUGUUCCAAGCCAUCCAGUGCAUACCUCUGGAGUCACCAUUUGAGCUCCACCAGAAAUUUGCUACCGCGCUAGUAAGUUUAGAAGUGAUUGUUUUCGGUAGUCUGAAGCACGACAUAACAUAAGUUGGUAAUGCUGCAGCUACCGAUUUAAUCAUCACUUCUUUUCCCCCUUUUGAUAAAAAUUUGGCCGCUUCGUCAAAUUAAAUUUGUUAAGAAAUCAAUUUGCUAAUCCAAAUUAAAAAAGAAAAAAAACUUUUUGACUAACUUAUACGGUGUUUAUUAAUUUUAAAUAUGUCAACAAAUUUUUUAUUGUUUUUUGGGCAAAUGCUAAAAAAUUUAUAACUUAAAAUUUUAAGGAUUAUUGUAUAAAAAAUGUCCAACUCUAAGAUAAAAUUAAAAACAUAGAGUUAUUUCAAAUAUAAAAUAAUCAUAUCUUUUACUUUAUUAUAAAGUAAGAUAUAGAAUAUGAUUGGGGAAGAAUCUUUUUAAAUAGGAUCCCUCUUUUGGGCUUAGCAUACUCUUAUUCUACUAGAGUCUUUGACUUCCUUAGGAUUGGACCGUUGACUGGAAAAAACUCUUUCCCUUUUGUCUUCUUCAAGCUCAAACCUUAUCGUUUGGUUUUCUUCUUCAAAAUCUGUGUGUUUGUUCUUCAACCUCAAGCUUUCAUUUUUCGAUUCUGCUUUGAAUUUCAGUUCUCUCUUUGGGUUUCCCUAGUUAUGUCUUCUUCCCUUGACAAGAUUCUAAUGGCGAUGACCUUAGAAGAGAAGGAUGAGCCAUUUAAUCUUCCGGAUCUGCCUGAAUUUUGCUCAAAAGAGAUGAAUUCCAUGAGUUUAAUAGGAAGAAUUCUCAAUCCGGACUGUCAGAAGGUGUCUAAUUUGGUACUCGAUAUGCCAAGGAAGUGGCAAAUAUAUGAUCGUGUUCGUGGUGUGGCUCUAUCUCCGGAAAGGUUUCAAUUCAUCUUCGAAUAUGAACAUGAUUUGGAGGAUAUUCUUAACAAAGGAGCUCAUACAUACAAUCAAUGGUCUUUUGCGUUGGAUAGAUGGAUGGAAAAUCCUCCGGAGGAUUAUCUUCAGUUCAUUCCGAUUUGGGUUCAACUUCGCAACAUACCUGUCAAUCAUUACACACCGGAUGCUAUCCGUACUCUUGCUGGGUUUGCAGGUAAGGUUAUUGAAUUGGAUUUGGAUCAAACCAAAGCUCAGAACAAAGAUUACGUCCGGGUUAGAAUCCGCUUUGAUGUUUCGAAGCCUCUCCGCCGAUCUAA